UUUUUUUUUUUGUGACCAUGGUUACCCCAAUUUCCCUAGCGAAACAGACAUACAAUCAUCUGUUUUACAUGCGAGUACAAGCUGCAAUGGAACUUCCUGAACCAAUACCAUCAGCUUCAAUGCUUCGAAACACUACUUGCUAAACACUUUGCUAGCAUCACCGUUCAGUAUUCACUACUGGUGCUUGCGUGCUUCUAGGCAACACGGAUCCUGAACGAUGGCAUGAGGAGCUUGCAUGCUCGGCUCCGGCGAGGUGAUGAAGCCCGGUGCAGCGUAGAAAGACCGCGGCGGCGGUUGCCGUGGCAUGUGCCAGCUGACCAGCUCGAUGUCGUUGCUUCCAGUACUGCUGUCGCCGUCGUCGAGCUCGUCAGCCGGCGGAGCUCCUCUGACCUCUGCUCGGCACGGUUCGGCUGUCUGGAGGAAGAAGAAAGACGGUCAGAGAGAGAGAGGGAGAUGAGGCCGGGGAGUUGGUGGCUGCGCGCUGGAGAGCCGAGGCGAGGAGGGACGAGCGCGACCGGCAGACGCGUGGCGGAGCAGAGACGGCACGGGUGAGGAGGGCCGAGCGCGAGCGUCUGGUCUGGCGCGUGGCGUCGCCAGUGCCGACGGGACGCCGACGGCAUGGGUCGCGGCGGGCAGUUGGCGCCGGAGUUGGUGCAUUGCGUCGCGUUUGCGCGUGACGACGUAAUGUGGGGGCUGGACGUGGGCGCCGGCGCGUGUCGGCGUCGGAGCUCGCCGGCGGGCUGAAUGGCUGAUGACAGCCGCGCGUUGUGCAUCGCUAGGCGAGCAGGUCACGGCGGCACGCACUGCAGGGCUCAGUCCGUGCACAAAAAUCCGGCCCCAAACUUGCUAAGGUAGGUUCUGGAUGCGGAUCGGAAUCGAGGAGGCCGGAUCGGAAUCGGACACCGCGCGCGUGCGAUCCAAGCAGCAGCAGCAGAUCGGAGUCCGACUCCCGGUGAUUUGCCGCCACCACCGCCUACAUAACCAAUCGAUCCAUCCAUCAAUCAACUCGUCGUCUCUGUCUUGGCCAUUGUUCCUCUUGGGUGCCGUCUCCCUUCCGAUCCCUGCCAUGGAAGAAGAUAUAGUGUGGGAGAUUGGGGAGAUCGAAGCCCAAGGAGGAGGAGAGUCGCCGCCGUUGUUUGACCAAGCCACGCCGCCGCCGCUUUACCCGCCGGCGUCGGUCUCGUCACUCACCCGAGGCGAUGCCGCCGCCGCUUCCAUCAGCAACAAGCGCGGCCGCGUCGCCGCCUCCAGCAAGGCCAUCCAAGGCCUGCGGGAGGUGACGGCGCCGCCGACGGACGGGUCCGACGACGACUGCUGCGCCAUCUGCCUUCAGGAUCUCGAUUACUCCGACAAGGCCCAUCCAGUUCCGGUGAGGGCCAUGCCUUGCUCGCACACCUUUCACGAGCACUGCAUCUUCGAGUGGCUCCGCCGGAACGCCGUCUGCCCUCUCUGCCGCCACCAGCUGCCCACGGAGGACGACCACGAGCAGGAGCAGGAACAGGGGAGGAGGAGGAGGAGGAGGAGGAUCAGGAAUUUCAGGAUCCGGUUCGUCUACAUCGAUGAGGACGGCCAGCCGCGCUAUGGCUCCAGCGACGACGAGGAGGAGGAGGAGGAGGAGGUGGACCCGGAGCAGUUCGAGGCGGCCUUGAGAGAAUUUUACGCUGGACUGGAUCAGACGAUCAGACCACAAAGCUAGCUUGCACUGGGACUGGAAGAUGAUCGAUUCGGCAUGCCAGAGCCUCCUCCUCCAUCUCAAUCCACUGCCUUCAACUUCAGCUUGAGCUUGCUGUUGAGUUUCUAUGUAAUCUUACUUAAGAGAUGCCAGAUCAACUGGAUCUUGUGUUCUAUUUGAAUUCAUCCUAUGAGAUUCAUAUAUCUCAUUCUCAGACUCAUCAUGCAUGUUUCCAAAUUCAGUCUCUAGAAUUUACAACUGCCUCCAGGUGUUGCAGCAUAUCACUGUGCUUGUCAAUGUCAAUGGUCUCCUGCAUUGUGAGUAAUCCUGGAGGUUCAAAUUUCAAAACAGGGCUAUGAGCUGAAGAAUUAAAAGACAUGAACCAUGCAUGCAAAUAGAGAGGGUAAAAUAAUCUCAUAACAAUUGGGGGAGCAAUUUCCAAGCAGCUCUUUGUGGCACUGAGAAACCACCAUGCCUACUUGUAUCAUCUGCAGUUUUUUCUUUUUUUGGCAGAAAUGUGUAGUGUGAUAUUUGCGUUGGUACAAGCACCAGGAGUUGGAAUUGGGAUGGCGCCAAUUUCCUGAAUUGGUGAGCAUGCACAAAGGCUCAUCAACUUCUGAUUUUGUUUUUGGGUAAUUCCAUUUGUUACAGUUAUUGGUGCAUCCUAAAGCAGUGCAUAUUACUAUACUGCUUUUGUUGGUACCUAUCAGAGAUAAAUUUUGAUCUGCCCUUGUUUGAAAAAUCCUUAAGAUAGCGUAUUUGGAAGCCAAACUCUGAAACUCAUAUGUAAUGCAGCAAUGCGACAUUGUACUUGCAAAGUGUAAUGGUUGCAAUGCCUUUACUAUUGCUGCGAUUCUCAACAUGACUUCUGCUAUCACAUUCAGAUAAUUUUAGGCAUGCACAAAAGGGACAAAACUCUGGAUAUAAUUGUAAGCAUAUAAACUCCAGUCAUAUCUUAAUCUGAGAACCAUUCAGGAACACCUUCACCUAGGAAAUUUAGCUUUUCAGUUUUGCACAAGACUUGAGUUAUUGGUAUGAAUGACGGAAAAAAUGCAGGCAUGGAAUUUACCGAGUACCUGUCAGUUGCUUUGUAAAGUACAAUACAAUUGGCAUUAGUUAUCACAGAUUUGUUGACAUACCAAUACUGAAAACAUGUGAACUUUGCAACAAAUACUGAAAAUACCUGUUUCUACCACUGUUCUACUGUUGGCCGCGCCCCGGUUGAUCGUGGCCGUCGGCCCUGCCGCGUGCGCGCCAUCAGACUUCCUUAAAAACAUAUACUAGAUGGAUAUGGAUGCUUGUUACGAUAAAUGUCGAACUGGCAGUUUGCUGCUUUAUAGCAAAACGGAGUCCUAGGUCUUGGUACUACUUACAUGGCAUUUUACUCGCCACUGGUAUCCUUGCUCUUCUAGCUUUAACUGUGGUUUUGCACAAAAUAGAUCAUGCCUGCGGCCUGCCUUGCCUAUGCUUCCUGUGACAGCAUCGCCUAAUGCUCGCCAGCUUGCCAUGACAAGUGUAGCCAGCCUAUGUCGUUAUGCCCAAGUACAGGUAAGCAUGUUGUUCCAAAUGUCGUUUACAUGGUCUCAAUGGAUUGUUUAGUUUUGCUUUAGUCGACUCCUGUAGCUUCAACACUUAUAUGCAGGGCUACUCCCACCGUGCCUUUUUGUUUACUUAAAAUGAUCUUCUUUUCAGUUCUCUACAUUUUUAAAAUCAUAGAGAAUGCUGCCUAAUUCUAUAUAAUCUUCAUUCGAUUGUAUUAUUCUUUCAUGCAGUUAUGCAGAUUACAUUGCAAUAUAUGCUCAACUGACCUGGAGCCCUCAUCAAGAAUGCACGAUUAACUAUGAAAUGGUGCCUACUUACAGCUGCAUGACACAGAUUACUGUCCUCGGCUCGAGGUAUGAAGUGGUCCGUCCAAUUUGAUAGUGCUACUAAUUAGUAUAUGUAAUGUUCACACAUCUGUGUGUGUUGUUCAUCUGCUCAGGCAAUUUACAUGCUUACUUCGGUACUAACUUCAUGUUUAGCCCUUCAUCUAGGCUGAGAGGUCCUCUUUUUCUCUCGUUAAAAGCUGCUACUUUCAUACGUGCAGAUUCAAGUCCCUUAGAAUGUGACAUACACUGUGAAUCAUAUUGCUGAUUGAGGUUAGUUACCGACUUUCCUCUGUUUUAUGUUCAUCGUCAGGUGAUUUUUGUGGACUUGAAUUGUGAGUCAUCACUCCUAUAUGAAAUUGGUAUGUCAAGAUAUGUAUGGACACUCACAAAAAAGACAUUUCAUCUUGAAUGAACAUGUCUCAAAUUUCUGGUUAGCAGAAGAACAAAAGAAAACUGCACAACAAUACGUGGCUUUUAAAUAUUAAUGAAAGAUUCAGGUUCAUGUGCAUUAACUAAUAUUUCAAUAAAUGCUUCAUCUAAUCCUAAUUGCCAAUGUGCUUGCUCUGGCCCUUACCUCGGAACCCCUCUGCUUACAUCUUGCAUGCCAUGUGUACCAAACUGUAUUGCAUUAACUAGAACCUCUCCGAUGCUGCAGUCUGGCGUCCUGGUAGCUGUGAGGGAGGAUAAGAAUCUGCCGCACCACAAAUGAGAUGCAAAAAUAGAGGCAAGGCUUCAAGAUGGUUGUUUAUUCUCAGUUUUUUGGGUAUUUUGUUUAUGUCUUAGUUUGCAUGGAAAAUAGAGCAUUAAUAUGAAAGCACAGGCAUAGUUUUUUGUCUAAUAUUUAAUUCCUUUACAUUAUUUUGAAUGUAACAAUUGAAUCUGAUUUCUCUAUUCACCAACAGGUAUGAAGUUCACAUUGAACUCAACAUGUAGAUUGACUACAAAAACUGACUGCCACCAGCUUGGUGGUGUUUCAAUGCAGCAAUUACUGUUGUCUUGGACCAAGCACCAAUGGGGUGAUAGAAAGAUCAAGGUUAAUAUCCUGCUCAUACAUUGAUCGAUCUAACAGUUUAGUGUCAAUUACUUCAUCAUUCCUAAUAGCAAAUCCAAAUUUAAUGAACCCUGAUGUCCUCUGUAAAAAGUUCUGAAUUAGUACUAGCCUAAAACAUAUUUGUGAUUUCAAGUUAACUCUACUUAAUUCCAUAGUCUACUCUAAGGAUGUGUGUUUUUUCAGAUUGCUCUUGGUUCUUGUAUUUUUUAUAUGAUAAGUAAUAUUUCUGUCCUGGCCCUUCCUUUAUUUUAGCGCCUUGUGUAUGGUUUGCCCCACAUGACACUGUUGGACUAAGUUCAUUUUUCUCCCUUCUUGUGACUGUCUUAUGAUAGUUUGGUUAAUGGUAUUACACUGUUCAUGGCCUAAUUGGCCUGGUGGUUCUUCACCUGAUUAUUGUUCUACUGAAACCACGCCAGCCCUGCCUGAUUCAAUGAACUGUCCAUACAUAACUGCAUUUCAUUCUAUGCAGAGCUAUUUGUGAACCUUUGCAAGUUCAGCUUGAUGCUAUAUUGGUAACUGUUUACUGUCCAUUUCUCUUAUGCAGCAGGGGUCAAUGGAAUUCAGUUGGCAGCUGUGACAAGGAAACUGAACCGAUAGCGAAUGAACAGGAACCUGCACCAUACACCUUGGUGUACCUGAAUACAACAAAGAUGUCUGACUACAGGAAGGAGGUACACCCUUCAGUCUAUCGCAAACAGAAGUUGACUGAGGAGGAGAGGACAUCGCCUGACAAGAAUGAAUGAAGUCGUUACCCUACACAACAUGCUGGAAUUUUGAUUAAAUCCAACUUUUGAUUCAGAGAUUCAGUGUUUCAGCAACAUCGGCAGUCAGGUCAAAAUAGGAAAGUAGGCAACGAGCUGUCAAGCUCGGCAAAAACUGAACUCACCCACCGUCCCUGGAAACUAAAUCUGGCCAUUGGUUGGUGGAACUACAACAAUUUCACAAGCCUUGGCGGCCCUGUGGCAAGUGCGGAAUUUUCUAAUUGCAUCCUGCCACCGUAGCGGCGUCGUGGGGUGCGGCUGCACCGAGCUGAUGUCAUCCUGUGGAUGCAGAGGCGUCGUGGGUUGGUGCGGCUCCACCGUCAGUGAAGCGAGGAAGCGGUUGACAGCAAGAACCGCCAACACAAAGGUUAUCUCGACACUCCCUCCUCUGAAUUGCUGCAUCUUGAGGUGCUCCAGGGUGUGCGCUAGGCAGCGGGCUGAGUCGAUGGCGGGGCACUCGUCGUUGCCAGUGGCCUUGUCGACACGCUGCACAUAACACAUUACAAAUUGAUUGAUGGAUCAAUUCCGAUGGAUCAAGCAGAGAUACAUGACAGAUGGAAAGCGAGCAUACCCGGAGAGUAAGGUCCUUCAGGUUCGGCAUCCAGCGAAGCAGUGAUAAGAGAUCUAAUGCAUGGUGUGCCGUGGCCAACUCAACAGCCACACCAAGGGUACGAACGAACGGUAGUAUCAGUACCUGCUGACGGCUGACCUGCAGAACAUCAAGUAGAAUGCUAAAACUUUUUUUGGAAGAACUAAAAAGGUGGAUGUAUCAAACAGAGGCAGGCAAUUAGAGACAUACCCUCAUCAUGUACUCGGAUCUGAUUACAAUGUUCUGUUGGUGCAUAUCAACCUGAUCGACAGUGUUCAAGAUGCUGCAGAACAUAAUGUUGAUCUGUACCAGGGGAGGAGGACGAGCCGCCGCCGCCUUGGGGGCAGGUACCACCCCGAGGGUGAGGCGUGUGAGUGCAGGGGCUUGGCCAAUGGUGACCUUGUGGUCGGCCGUGCAGCUGUAAAAUUGCAGCGCCACCAAACUUGGAGACGCAAUGAGGAGACCAUCUUCAUUGCAGGCUUCAGUCAAGGGACACGACCGGAUGGUGAGAGUCUUCAGCCCUUGCAGAUCAUGGACAGUUUGUGAUAGAUCAGACCCGUCGAAGGCGCAAGCUGUGAGUGUGAGGUACUUGAGGCUGGACCAUGCGUGGCCAUCCAGGUAAGCAGCUUCCAUUGCGUGGCGAAGGCAAGCCCUGAUGUUAACGAAACCAAUUGCCAGGAAAGUGAGACGCCGGCUGCGGAGGUGCUGAAGAGGCGCCUCCAUGUCCUCCGGCCUUGUCAGGUUAAGCAAGAUGACUUCCUGCACCUCCCUUGCCGUCAGGAUGUCGAUCCAUCGCCGAAGACGCUCCGGCGCGGGGAACGCCGACGAGUCGACUCGGAGGCACGCGAUGGGUCCCGGGUGAACGUCCAAGAUGCGGUCUAUCUCCCCGGUCACGUCCACGUAGCGCCCACUCAGGCCGGGGCCCCACCUGAUGAUGGAAUCAGCCGCCGCCACAAGCCCGGCGUCAUGAAGCUUCAGCGGGAACUUCAUCCAAGCCUGGAGCCGCUCCUCCUUGAAGGGGCGCUGGUAGAUGAAGAGGUCGAAGUAGGGGUCGAACCGGUCGUCAGGGUAGAUUCCUCGGUAGUGCAGCGCGAGCGCCACGGGGUCCUCCUUGUCGUCGUCGUUCGCCCCAUCCAGCAAGAUGAGGCGAUCCGGCGGAGGGGGAAGAGCGCGGACCGACUUCUUGAUGAGCGCGGGCGUCCGCUCCAGGGCGCCGGGCCUGUCGCCGCCGCCGCCCUUUCCGACCCCGGUCUGGGGUGCCGUAUCCAUCUCCGCCUUGGACUUCUCCGACGCGGAUGGCCUGAUCAGGGCGCUGGAGGUCGAUCGGGAGGGAUGGCGCAGGUAGGGAUCGACCGGGUUUGGGAGGGAUUGGGGGAGGAUUAGGGAUUGGGGAUUGCAGAUGCGUCGACCGUUAAGAGGGAGGGGCCUCGAGGGAGGGGGUUUUUAUUUGGAUUCUGUCCUCCAAGGCUCCAACCGUUUUCGUUUCCUUAGCUUCAGAGAAGCAGAGGAGGUCUGCAAUUGCCAAAUGAUUUUUUUUUUACAAAGUUAUAAGAUGCUUGGCAGUUACAAAACGCAAUCACGGCUAAACUAAAUUGUUUCUUCUGCUGAUCUUGACCCAACCAUUCACGGGUGCUGCUUCUGCUGGCUGAAAGGUAACCCCCUGACUGAAUGUCUGAAACUUAACCAUGGUCUGAUGAUGGUUGCAGGCACAUCAUGUCUUGUGCUGCGUGAGGCUGGACAAGAUCGACUUCGCGCCCAUGAUGGCCAGAUACCGAUGCUGAUGACGGCAGGCUGGAAAAGCAAAAGAGAGUGUCCUUCCUAAUUGUUCUUGAGAUGCUGUUGCAAAUUCAGUUUGGGGAUGAUCCACUUCUUUGCCAGAUGUUUCAGGCGUCAAUCACUGUGCAAUUGGGGGAUGGUAACUUGGCGCUGUUCUGGAAAGAUAGAUGGAAUGGAGAUGCAUCCCCAUCUGACAUUGCACCGGAUCUAUGCAGACUGGUAAGGCCAAAGAUUGCAAAAACAAGAACGGUUGCUGAAGCUCUGUUGGGAAGACGCUGGAUAGCCGAUAUUGUCGGACGGCCAACAGUCAACGCCUUGCUGCAGUACAUCCAUUUGUGGCACAUAGCUGAUAACGUCCUUCUUCAGCCGGGAACCGAAGACAUUGUUUCAUGGAAAUGGGAUCCGUCAGGCACAUACACGACAAAAUCGGCUUACAAAUUCUUAUUCCAAGGAGCUACAACUUUCCCUGCAGCCAAUGCAAUCUGGAGGACUUGGGCACCAUUGAAAGUCAAGUUCUUCAUAUGGUUAGCAAUUAGAGACAGGUUGUGGACUGCUGAAAGGAGACACUGACAGGGCCUGCAAGAUAAUACCGAUUGUGCUCUAUGUGAUCAGGGAAUUGAGACUGCUGACCACCUCUUCGCGACAUGUUGCUAUACCCAGGAGAUCUGGUAUGCAGUCAGCAGGAAACUGAACAUCCAAGUUCCAAGUCCUGGCCUGACAGUAAUUGACUGGUGGCUGCAAAUGAGAUUGGGGAUGACCAAGCACAAGAAGAAAGUUCUUGACUCCUCAUUCAUGUUGACCUCCUGGACUAUUUGGAAAGAAAGGAACGACAGAGUCUUUAGCAGGUCGCCAGCCCAAUCUGCUGCUCAUCGGACCACGGUGAUCCUUCAUCAGGCUCAGCUAUGGAUGGAAGCCGGCGGUAAACACAUGACAGUUUUGGGAUGGCCGGCUGCAACUGUAGGGGUUAGAGCCCAGUAGUCCAUCAGCCUAGUCAGUUUGUACCUUGAGUUGUUGUCAUUCCUUUUGUAAUACGGCUCCUCACUCUCAACCGUAUGUGUGUGCCCGGAUGACCCGUGUUGUAAGAACUUUGUUCUAAUUCUUAAAGAUAUGCAGCUCUUCUGCGUAUUCUCGAAAAACAAAGAUGCUGUUGCAUACAUCAGCAAAUAAUUAGUUGUUGGAACUAUCUCAAGUUUGUGUAGUAAGCUUGACUGCGCACAGAUUUGUUUGAAUACUUGUUGAUCAUUGCCCCAAAAGAGGAGGGAAAAAUAGAUAAUUGCUGCUAUCUGCAGCCUGAAAAUGCUUGCUAAUGGAUCAGUCACAACUCACAUCACCACAUGUUUUCCCUGCGAGAAGAACAAAAAUGUGCAACAUAUCAUGCAGGAGAGGAGGAAUACAAAGUAGGUGCAGCGAGGAUAGUUUCUGAAAAGAGUUCUUCACAGCAUUUGGUGCUUUAAGAUGAUGUCUUUGCGUGUUUAGACGACUGCCCACUUGCUGUUUCUGUUUUUUUUUCUUGGGAGGUUUACGGCAGGCAGAUCGCAAUUUUUUUUAGAGAUGAUGUUCCUAGUAAGUAGUAAUUCCUUUUUCUUAAAGCCAAAUAGUACCUGAGAAUUAUAUGAAUCUCAGAAGUUGAAUAAGAAUACUACUCCAGCUGAGAAUGACUGGCAUCUAUACAUAUGUAUCUUUACAUUGCAUUAAAGAUCAGAAAAUGGAGAAGAUAGGCAAGCGGAUUGACCGAAAUAAAACAAAAUGCUGCCUACAAACUGCAACUCCUGGUGCUUGUACCAACGCAAAUAUCACACUACACAUUUCUGCCAAAAAAAGAAAAAACUGCAGAUGAUACAAGUAGGCAUGGUGGUUUCUCAGUGCCACAAAGAGCUGCUUGGAAAUUGCUCCCCCAAUUGUUACGAGAUUAUUUUACCCUCUCUAUUUGCAUGCAUGGUUCAUCUCUUUUUAAUUCUUCAGCUCAUAGCCCUGUUUUGAAAUUUGAACCUCCAGGAUUACUCACAAUGCAGGAGACCAUUGACAUUGACCAGCACAGUGAUAUGCUGCAACACCUGGAGGCAGUUGUAAAUUCUAGAGACUGAAUUUGGAAACAUGCAUGAUGAGUCUGAGAAUGAGAUAUAUGAAUCUCAUAGGAUGAAUUCAAAUAAAACACAAGAUCCAGUUGAUCUGGCAUCUCUUAAGUAAGAUUACAUAGAAACUCAACAGCAAGCUCCAGCUGAAGUUGAAGGCAGUGGAUUGAGAUGGAGGAGGAGGCUCUGGCAUGCCGAAUCGAUCAUCUUCCAGUCCCAGUGCAAGCUAGCUUUGUGGUCUGAUCGUCUGAUCCAGUCCAGCGUAAAAUUCUCUCAAGGCCACCUCGAACUGCUCCGGGUCCACCUCCUCCUCCUCCUCCUCCUCGUCGUCGCUGGAGCCAUAGCGCGGCCUGCCGUCCUCAUCGAUGUAGAGGAACGGGAUCCUGAAAUUCCUGAUCCUCCUCCUCCUCCUCCUCCCCUGUUCCUGCUCCUGCUCGUGGUCGUCCUCCGUAGACAGCUGGUGGCGGCAGAGAGGGCAGACGGCGUUCCGGCGGAGCCACUCGAAGAUGCAGUGCUCGUGAAAGGUGUGCGAGCAAGGCAUGGCCCUCACCGGAACUGGAUGGGCCUUGUCGGAGUAAUCGAGAUCCUGAAGGCAGAUGGCGCAGCAGUCGUCGUCGGACCCGUCCGUCGGCGGCGCCGUCACCUCCCGCAGGCCUUGGAUGGCCUUGCUGGAGGCGGCGACGCGGCCGCGCUUGUUGCUGAUGGAAGCGGCGGCGGCAUCGCCUCGGGUGAGUGACGAGACCGACGCCGGCGGGUAAAGCGGCGGCGGCGUGGCUUGGUCAAACAACGGCGGCGACUCUCCUCCUCCUUGGGCUUCGAUCUCCCCAAUCUCCCACACUAUAUCUUCUUCCAUGGCAGGGAUCGGAAGGGAGACGGCACCCAAGAGGAACAAUGGCCAAGACAGAGACGACGAGUUGAUUGAUGGAUGGAUCGAUUGGUUAUGUAGGCGGUGGUGGCGGCAAAUCACCGGGAGUCGGACUCCGAUCUGCUGCUGCUGCUUGGAUCGCACGCGCGCGGUGUCCGAUUCCGAUCCGGCCUCCUCGAUUCCGAUCCGCAUCCAGAACCUACCUUCUCGUCGGGCAAUUGCAGGUUCAGACUUCAGAGGUGUCAUCAGCCACUGAACAGGUAGGUCUUGUUUUUGAUCUGCAAGCUGCAGCUUCCUGAAACAACUGUAAUUGUAGCUUCCCUUGUUGGCGCAAUGGAUCUCAUCUACUGCAAAUUUGCAAUUUUAUUUGGCCAGUUUCUUUUAACUUUCUAAUUAGCAUGGCUAUGUAUGCCAGUAGUGCCUUUUUCCCUUUUUACGUUUUAACUCCUCCGGGCAGAUGGCAUUCACCUCCCCAUCCGUAGAGCUACAGAUUCUGAAAACUAACACUGAAUGCUUCAAAUUUUGCCAAAGUUCAGAGAUAUUUAUCUGUCAAACUAAUUAUCCUUUGAGCGUACAACUGUUAUAGAACUUGUAGCACUAUGUACCAGCUCCAUCCAAUUUCUAGUAAAGGUUCAUGGUCGGCUAUAGUUUGAAAUUUUAUGAAAUUUAGCAAGUUUGGUGAUCUGAGCAGCUGACUGCGCUGUUGAUCGUCCAAAGACUCUGUCAUUCCGUUCUCGCCAAAUGGUCCAAGAGAUCAACAUGAAAGAGGAGUCGAGGCCCUUUCUUUGUGCCUGUUAAAACCCAGACGCAUCUGCAUCCACCAGUCGACCAGCGACCCUGUUGGAAUAGGAGUUUGGACGUUGAGUAGUCUGCUGACUGCAUACCAAACCUCCUUGGUGUAGCAGCAAUCCAUGAAGAGGUGAUCGGUGGUCUCCACUCCUUGGUCACAAAGUGCACAAUUUGAAUUAUCUUGGAGGCCUCGUUUGUGCCUCCUUGCUACAGUCCACAACCUGUUUUUGAUUGCUAGCCACAUGAAGAACUUGAUUUUCAAUGGUGCCCAAGUCUUCCAGAUCGCAUUGGCUGCAGGAAAAGUCGUGGCUCCGAGGAAUAGGAAUCUAUAAGCUGAUUUGGCCGAGUAAGUGCCUGUUGCUUCCCAUUUCCAGGACACAAUGUCCUCAACCCCCGGCUGAAGGGAGACUGAAUUGACCGAGUGUCAUAACUGAAUAUACUGAAACAAAGCUUCUACUGUUGGAUGUCCGACAACAUCAGACACCCAACAUCUGUCCAUCAGAGCUUCAGCAACCGUUCGCGAUUUGACGAUCCUCGGCCUUACCAAUCUACAGAGAUCAGGUGCGAUGUCGCAUGGGGAAGCAUCUCCAUUCCAUCUAUCUUUCCAGAACAACGCUAGGUUGCCAUCUCCCAGUCGCGCAGUGAUCGACGCCUGGAACAUCUAACGGAGGAGCGGAUCGUCUGCAAACUGAACUUGCAGAUAUUUCCAUGGUCAGUUGGCGUCAGUGCGUUGCAGCCAAAGCCAUCUCAGGCGCAGUGCAUAGGAGGCCAGCUUGAGAUCCUGGAUCCCCAAUCCUCCAAACCUUGUCGGCUGCAAGUCCCUAUCCAUGCCACCAUGCAGUGUCCUCCUUGGCAAGUUCGCUUCCCCGCCCACAAGAAACCCCGGCGGCGUUUGUCUAUUUCAUGAAUAACCUAGUCCGGCAGCUUCAAGGAGAUGAUGGUGUGAAUUGGAAUUGAACUCAUGACACUUUUAACAGUGGUGAGCCUACCUGCCUUGUUCAUAAGAGGAGCUCUCCAGGCCAACAUGCUGCGCGAGAUUUUAUCCACCAGAGGUUGGAAAUGCACCUUUCGCAACCGCCCUAUUGACAGUGGCAAACUGAGAUACUGAAGUGGGAAGUCUGAUAGACGAGCCGGCAAGAUAUUAGUGAUUCUGCCAAUCUGCACUUUAGAGCAUGCAAUCGGAGCAAUGAAGCUUUUAUGCAGAUAUGUGUGUAGGCCGGAGGCAUUGGCAAGGAAAGCAGCAGCUCCCUGAUUGCCACCACAUCUCUCACUUUCGGUGCAAGGAACAACAUGACAUCGUCGGCAUACACUGAACACUGGUGGUGUAUGGCCGGGCUUGCAGGCAGCGACAGAAUGCCUUCAUGGGCUGCCUUGCUAAUAAGAGGGUGCAGCACCUCCAUCAUCAAGAUGAAAAGCAUUGGAGACAAUGGAUCCCCUUGCCUCACCCCUCUUGCAUUGUGAAUUGUCCUCCCAGGUUCCCCAUUCAGAAGGAUUCUAGUGGAAGCAGAUGAGGUUAGGGAAGCAAUCCAAUCUCGCCAUCGUCUGCCAAACCCCAUGGCUUCCAGAACCCGUAGCAUAAAGACCCAGUCCACGGUGUCAAAAGCUUUGGAGAUGUCAAGCUUCAACAGCAGCGACGGUUUUUUCUUUAUGUAGAGCAACUUGGCUGCUCGACGUACUUAAAGUUAUCAUGGAUUGAUCGCCUCUUAAUGAAAGCGCUCUGGUUAACAUCAAUCAGCUUAUCGAGCUCUGGUGCAAGUCUGUUAGCCAGAAGCUUCGCCACCAGCUUAGCAAAGCUAUGAAUUAAGCUUAUGGGGCGAUAGUCACCCGGGCUCUUAGGAUCAGGACCUUUUGGGAUCAAAGUGAUGAGAGACCCAUUUAACCGGUACAAAUAUGCACAAGCAUUUCUGUAGAAUGCAUUGAACCCUGCCAUUAUGCCGUACUUGAUCACCGACCAUGCUGAUCUGUAGAACUCUGCCGUGAACCCGUCAGGUCCUGGCGACUUGUCAUUCGGCAAGGACUUAACUGUGCGCCAGACCUCAUCCUCUGAAAAAAGGUGCUUCCAGGUGCGUGAGGUCGGCCUGCUGAAUUCCUAGAGCUAGGAAGUUGAUAGCCUCAGAACGCUGGUGCGGUGUGCCAAGGAUUUUGGUGAAGUGCUGGAACAGCACCUCCUCUUUUUCCUGCUGUGUCACUGCCACACCUUCAUCUGUGUGAAAUUGAGCUAUGAACUUCUUGUUAGUUCUGUUGCUAGAUUGCAAGUGAAAGAGUUUCGUGUUGGCAUCUCCCUCCUUCAGGAAGAUGAUACGCGAGCGUAGGCGCGCCAUAGUUCUCUCCAAGGAGGAAAGGCCGAGAGCUUUCAGUUUGAGUUCUUUCCGCAGCUGAACCGUGCCUCUUGUGCCUUAUCAAGCCACAACACAAUUGUUCUUGCAAUGAGAAGCUGUGACUUAAUUUGGCCGACGGUACGUUGGCUCCAGCUUUGGAGGUGCCUUGCCGUGUUCUUUAGUUUCGCAUCAAUCCUGUAGAGAGGAUCGGUGAUAGCGUCAUUGCAUACCCAGCCUGCCUGCACGGCAUCUAGAUACCCCGGGAUUUUAAGCCACCAAUUUUCAAAGUGGAAGCGCCGCUUAGCGUGGAAAGAAGCGUUGGUUGAAAUGAGUAGGGGGCAAUGGUCCGAAAUGUCUGAGGAUAGCGCCUGGAGAUAGCAGAACGGGUAGUUUAGCUCCCAGUCCACCGCGACAAGGACCCUGUCCAACCUUUCCGUCGUGGGAGUGCUUCGCUCGUUGCUCCAAGUAUAGCGGCGUCCGUGGAGGAAAAUGUCUUUGAGCUGCAAGUCGACGACGAAGCGCCUGAACCGGCCCAAGUUCCUUUGGUUAAUGUUCACGUUGUUUUUAUCAGAUGCAUGGAGAAGGAGGUUGAAGUCGCCAACAAUGAUCCAGGGGCCGGUUAAGAGAGCAUGUAUGGAGCGCAAUUCAGCGAGGAACUUAAUUUUAUCGGUGUCAGGCUGCGGUCCGUAAACCGUGGUUAGAACCCACUGCUCGUUGGUUGCUUCGACGGCAAUGUUGACAGUCACCGAGAAGCGCCCGGAGUUCAUGACAGUGCAACACACCUCAGGGCCUUUACAUGCCACAAGGAUCCCGCCACUGGCACCCACUGAAGGCAAGUAGGCAAAGCUCGCGAACCGUGUUCCGAGCGUUUCGCUGACAAGAAAUGACGAGAUCGCAGCCAACUUGGUUUCUUGAAUACAAACGAUCGAGGCAUUGGCAUCGGCCACUACCGAUCGGAGAUGGUCUCUACGACUCCGCAUGCCCAAACCACGCACAUUCCACACUAGGAUAUUUAGGUUACACUGAUUCAUGAUGAUGGAGUUGCAACUGAGGGCUGGGAGAUGGCAGCAGCAUCAGGCAGCGAUGGUAGAGGCAGCCUGCUGAGCCGCCGUUCUGAGCUCGUCGUCAGAGAGCAACCUCGCCGCCGGGAAGAUGUCGCGCAGGGCGGCAAAAUGCUGAGGUAACAUGGCCGCCGCAAUGAACCUGUCAAACUCUUUCGCCGCCUGGUGGUGCAGCUCCUCAUCGGGCGCGAUGAUGCCCAGCUUGCGCAUGGCCAACACUUCCCCUUUCUUGGACGGCCGGACGAGCGCGUUCAGCGCCUGGUUCGCGAGGCGGCCGCUGCGGCGCGGGGCGGAGACGGGGUUUGCGGUGUUGGUUGCCGGUGGUCCGAUCUGCGACGUUGCUCCGAUCAAAGGUGCCUGCAGCGCCAAGCGGAUACUGGAAAGAAACUUCGUCGUCUUCGCCCGGGCGGCGGCAGAGCAGGAACCUGGAGAAGGCUGCGGCGGUUGGCACGGUGUCUGAGCGUGUUCAUUCGUUGCCGCACGUUCCUGGCGCACCGGUGCCCCAGCGUGGCACCUGGCACCAGUUCCUGCGUCCUUGGGCCUGCGAAGGCUGAGCGUGUCCCGCCGCCGUUUCUUCAUCAAAAUCCAGCCGGACGGGGGAGACCACUUGGUCCUGCUGAAGCUCGCCAUCGGAACAAGUUUGCCCCCUCUUGGAACGGCGCACGUACGUGCGGAGCACGGGCGCGCACGAAGCCAGGGUCGUCCGCGCCGGGGUUGUGGCGCGCGAAGUUGAAUCCCGCGCUUGCGUCAGUCGGGAUUCCAGGAGCAUUGGGUCGUGCAUGUGACUCACAGGAGCCAUUGGACUCGUGACGCAGGAACAGUGCGGCGUCGUCCUCGAACGCGCUGCGAGCGGCGCCGGGCCCACGGCGUUCGGCGGAGCAGACGCCUUCCCAUUGGGGAAAGUUGACCCGCUGAGCAGCAGGCGACGUGCGCUGCAGCGCGUUCACGGGCGACAUGGCGCUGCGGCCUUUUGCCUCGGUCUUCGUGCGUGAAGAAGACAGCUCCUGCCCCGCUGAGCUGGGCGCCGGUUGCUCCCUCAGCUGCUCCGCCGGUUGAGGCACGGACCGGUCGCCGACCGGCGAACAUGGCCCCGGCUCGCCGGCAGCAACCACCUGCUCCGGCGUCGUCGUUGCGGCGGGCGAGGAGGCGAGCACAGCGGGCUGUGGCCUGGGCGAACGCGCAGUGGGUGAACGCGAACGCGCACAGCACGCGCCGCCGGCACACCGCGUCCGCGCACUGGAGCUUGGUCCCUGAGUAGAAGCGCCGUCGCAACCAUCCUCGACGCCAGGCUGUAUGAAGAAGCCAUGCAACCUCGGACCCACUCCGCGCGAUUCUCCAUAACCGCGAUCGGGGUUUCCAUCAUGACCCGAGUCUCCAUCGUCGGAGGGAGGCGACGGCUCCGGGGAAGGCGACCUCGAACGGAAGUCAGCAACGUUCCUGAGAUGAAUGAGCACGUUAUAGGCUAGUACCUUCUUCAGCCUGAGAUAUGGCGGCAAGUUCCCAAAGAUGCGUUGCAUGUCGGGGUCAUCGUAUGUGACGCGAUGCCCGUGGCCCGUGCUCGGCGAUGAAGAUCGUCUUGCGCCGCGGAAUUCUUGCCGGAUCAUCUGUCCAUGCCGUCAGCUUCAUUCUGGACAUGUCAGAACAUGAACAAGCUUGAUACUUUUGUGAAUUUCCCAAUCCAUGAGACCAUGACCUCAGUAUGAGCAAGUAUGUGAAGCAGAUGUCGAGAGGUGAUAAGCAGCCCAUGUAUGAACUCUAUGCGCUGAUCAAUCAUAAUGAUGAUCUGGGUGGUGGACACUACUCAGCAUACGCAAAGGUACUUAUAUUUUCGUGUCGCUGUUAUAUUAACAUAUUAUAUUUACAUAUGUUUACAUUAUUGUAAGUGUUCUUAAUUGUAUAGCUUCCUGGAACCGCUUAUGGUGUCACUUGCAGGAAUUAUUAUUUCUUUUUUAUUUCCAAAGGAUGAAGAGGACUACGAGGAGGCCAAGUUCGAUGCUCCAAUGCUCUUCUAGGCAGAUGGCAUUCACCUCCCAUCCAAUGCUCCAACAGAGUUACUGGACCUGAGACAUUUAAAUAACUCCUUCCUAACGUACAACGGUGUAACCAUGUCCUGAAUAUAUCAUAUACAAACUACUAGUAUUUGCAAGCAAUAUGGUAACUGCAUACUUGACUCUUGAUCACAUCAACAGGACAUCACCUCCAUUGUCGUCUAGUCCGGUUAGGAUACCUGGCUUUCACCCAGGCGACCCGGGUUCAAAUCCCGGCAAUGGAGUUAAGCUCAUCAUGACAUCAACUGUUGCAUUGGGCAUUUAACCUAGCUUGACUUUUUGAUGGAUCAAUCUGCAAACAGCUUCUUCCUUAUAGGUAUUUCUCCAUUAGUCCUAAAAAUUUAGUUUUCGUUUGUGUUUAACCUCCUACCCCUAUGGCAUUUACAUGAUCACUACAUAUAGCGUAUAAUAUUAUUAUAUGAUAAUAAUAUAUACAUAUGACCCUCACCCAUAGCAACGCACGGACAAAUUUGCUAGUUAUAUAAAAAAUACAAGAACCAAGAGCAAUCUGAAAAAAACACACAUAUCCUUAGAGUAGACUAUGGAAUUAAGUAGAGUUAACUUGAAAUCACAAAUAUUUUUUAGGCUAGUACUAAUUCAGAACUUUUUACAGAGGACAUCAGGGUUCAUUAAAUUUGGAUUUGCUAUUAGGAAUGAUGAAGUAAUUGACACUAAACUGUUAGAUCGAUCAAUGGAUGAGCAGAAUAUUAACCUUGAUCUUUCUAUCACCCCAUUGGUGAUUGGUCCAAGACAACAGCAAUUGCUGCAUUGAAACACCACCAAGCUGGUGGCAGUCAGUUUUUGUAGUCAAUCCACAUGUUGAGUUCAAUGUGAACUUCAUACCUGUUGGUGAAUAGAGAAAUCAGAGUCAAUUGUUACAUGCAAAAUAAUGUAAAGGAAUUAAAUAUUAGACCAAAAAAAACUAUGCCUGUGCUUUCAUAUUAAUGCUCUAUUUUCCAUGCAAACUAAGACAUAAACAAAAUACCCCAAAAACUGAGAAUAAACAACCAUCUUGAAGCCUUGCCUCUAUUUUUGAAUCUAAUUUGUUGUGCGGCAGAUUCUUAUUCUCCCUCACAGCUACCAGGACGCCAGACUGCAGCAUCGGAGAGGUUCUAGUUAAUACGAUACAGUUUGGUACACAUGGCAUGCAAGAUGUAAGCAAAGGGGUUGCGAGGUAAGGGCCAGAGCAAGCACAUUGGCAAUUAGGAUUAGAUGAAGCAUUUCUUGAAAUAUUAGUUAAUGCACAUGAACCUGAAUCUUUCAUUAAUAUUUAAAAGCCACGUAUUGUUGUGUAGUUUUCUUUUGUUCUUCUACUAACCAGAAAUUUGAGACAUGUUCAUUCGAGAUGAAAUGUCUUUUUUGUGAGUGUCCAUACAUAUCUUGACAUACCACUUUCAUAUAGGAGUGAUGACUCACAAUUCAAGUCCACUAAAAUCACCUGACGAUGAACAUAAAACAGAGGAAAGAUGGUAACUAACCUCAAUCAGCAAUAUGAUUCACAGUGUAUGUCACAUUCUAAGGGACUUGAAUCUGCACGUAUGAAAGUAUCAGCUUUUAACGAGAGAAGGAGGGCCUCUCAGCCUAGAUGAAGAGCUAAACAUGAAGUUAGUACCGAAGUAAGCAUGUAAAUUUCCUGAGCAGAUGAACAACAUCCACACAGAUGUAUGAACAUUACAUAUACUAAUUAGUAGCACUAUCAAAUUGGACGGACCACUUCAUACCUCGAACCCAGGACAGUAAUCUGUAUCAUGCAGCUGUAAGUAGGCACCAUUUCAUAGUUAAUCAUGCAUUCUUGAUGAGGGCUCCAGGUCAGUUGAGCAUAUAUUGCAAUGUAAUCUGCAUAACUGCAUGAAAGAAUAAUACAAUCGAAUGAAGAUUAUAUAGAAUUAGGCAGCAUUCUCUAUGAUUUUAAAAAUGCAGAGAACUGAAAAGAAGAUCAUUUUAAGUAAACAAGAAGGCACGGCGGGAGUAGCCCUGCAAAUAAAUGUUGAAGCUACAGGAGUCAACUAAAGCAAAACUAAACAAUCCAUUGAGAUCAUGUAAUCGACAUUUGGAGCAACAGGCUUACCUGUACUUGGGCAUACCGACAUAGGCUGGCUACACUUGUCAUGGCAAGCUAGCGAGCAUUAGGCGAUGCUGUCACAGGAAGCAUAGGCAAGGCAGGUAUGAUCUAUUUUGUGCAAAGCCACAGUUAAAGCUAGAAGAGCAAGGAUACCAGUGGCGAGUAAAAUGCCAUGUAAGUAGUACCAAGACCUAGGACUCCGCUUUGCUAUAAAGCAGCAAACUGCCAGUUCGACAUUUAUCGUAACAAGCAUCCAUAUCCAUCUAGUAUAUGUUUUUAAGGAAGUCUGAUGGAGCGCACGCGGCAGGGCCGACGGCCACGAUCAACCGGGGCGCGGCCAACAGUAGAACAGUGGUAGAAACAGGUAUUUUCAGUAUUUGUUGCAAAGUUCACAUGUUUUCAGUAUUGGUAUGUCAACAAAUCUGUGAUAACUAAUGCCAAUUGUAUUGUACUUUACAAAGCAACUGACAGGUACUCGGUAAAUUCCAUGCCUGCAUUUUUUCCGUCAUUCAUACCAAUAACUCAAGUCUUGUGUAAAACUGAAAAGCUAAAUUUCCUAGGUGAAGGUGUUCCUGAAUGGUUCUCAGAUUAAGAUAUGACUGGAGUUUAUAUGCUUACAAUUAUAUCCAGAGUUUUGUCCCUUUUGUGCAUGCCUAAAAUUAUCUGAAUGUGAUAGCAGAAGUCAUGUUGAGAAUCGCAGCAAUAGUAAAGGCAUUGCAACCAUUACACUUUGCAAGUACAAUGUCGCAUUGCUGCAUUACAUAUGAGUUUCAGAGUUUGGCUUCCAAAUAUACUAUCUUAAGGAUUUUUCAAACAAGGGCAGAUCAAAAUUUAUCUCUGAUAGGUACCAACAAAAGCAGUAUAGUAAUAUGCACUGCUUUAUUUUAUUUUUUUUUUGAACGAAUUGGCACGGGAUAGUGCCUAUUGCAUUGAUAAAGAAGAUAGUUACAGAUUUUACAUUGGGGUUACCGGGUGUUGUUUUUCAUACGCGAUUACUCUCUGGAUAAGAAUUUCGCUAGUGGACUCGCCCCCGCUAAAAUCCAUGUGUCUGCUUCCGCCUUGAUGUGCGCCUGCAGGGAGGGUGCUGCCAUUCCUUGAUGGUCGAAAAUUCGUCGGUUUCGUUCCUUCCAAAUUUCCCAGAUUACCAAUAGGCUCAUCGAGCAGGUUCCUUUCCGAGGAGCUUCUGUCCGUGUAGUCAUAUUGAUCCACCACUCAAGCGCGGUGUUACAUGGUGGCCAUUCCGAAGGAUGCAGGCCGGGUUGCGAUGCCCAACUGGUUACGAGACCCCAUAUCCGUUUGGUGUACCUGCAUUGUGUCAGGAGAUGAUGAGCAGUCUCUUGGUGUGCAUGGCAUAAGGGGCAACAUGGCGAGUGCGGCCAUCCCCUUCGCGCGAGCCGAUCCGCUGUCCACACCCUAUCCUGUAGUAUCAGCCACGCGAAAAAUUUGCAUUUCGGUGGGGCCCAAGCUUUCCAUAUUGUGCUGCUGUGCGGCGCGUAAGUUGAUCCAAGAAACUGUGCGUUGUAUGCUGAUGCCGUUGAGUAUUGCCCGUUUGGCGUGAAUUUCCAGCGGAUCGUGUCUUCAUUUUGUGCUUGUAGGCUCGCUGUCUGUACGAGUCUCCAUAGGGUGGUGAAUUCGCGUAAGUGCUGCACUGCUAGGCCGGCGUGUAUGUUUAUAUCCGUCACCCACCUAUUGUUGUGUAAGGCUGCUGCAAGAGUUUUUUUCUUCCCCUUAGUUAUUUUGUAUAUGUUGGGCGCAAUGUCCUUUGGCCGUUCUCCGUUUCCCCACGCAUCGUGCCAGAAUUUUAUUUUGCUUCCAUUUCCCACUGUGAUGUCUGUGCAUGCAGCGAAUAAUCGUCGGUCAGAGCCGUCGCAUGGGAUCUCCGUUCCUAUCCAUGUUUUUUCCGGGGACUCCCACUCAUGCCAAAGCCAGCGGAGUCGCAGAGCUCUCGCGAAGUUUUGGAGGUUUAGGACUCCCAAACCGCCAUUAUCCUUUGGUAAGCAGGUUUUGGUCCAGUUGACCUUGCAUUUGCCUCCUGUUAGCUGAGUGUCUCCAGCCCAGAUGAAUCUCUUCCUUAUUUUAUCUAGUUCUUCCAGGACUUCGCGUGGUGGUUUUAAAAUAGUAAGCAGAUAUAGAGGUUGCGCAGAGAGUACAGCUUUGGUGAGGCAGAUUCGGCCUGCUUGUGAGAUAUUGCGGUUCUGCCAUCCCGAUAGCUUCUUAGAUGCUUUAUCUAUAAGGGGUUGGAAGUCUACCCUCCUGAGGCGCCUUAUUGCCAGUGGUAGCCCGAGGUAUUUUAGCGGGAAGCCAGUGCGAGUGAUUGGCCAUUCGGAUAGUAUUUCAUCGAGGUCUACGUUAGUGCAGCUAAUGGGAGUCACUGUCGUUUUUUGUAGAUUUGUUUGUAGCCCUGUUGUCUCGCCGAAGAAAUGUAGGAGUUUUGUCACAUUGGUUACAUCGUCCUUUGUUGGUUUGACAAAGAUAGCCGCGUCAUCAGCAUACAUGGAAAUGCUAGUGCGCAGCAUGCGUCCGUCCAGUUUUUGAAGUAGCUUCAUUUCUGUCGCCGUGCGCAUGAGUUGGUACAGUGGGUCUAUUGCCAGGAUGAAGAGAAAGGGGGAGAGGGGGUCUCCUUGCCUUAGUCCCCGUCCAUGUACUAUUGCGUCGGACGGGGAUCCGUUGAUUAGGAUUUUGGAGGUUGAUGUGAUUAGUAGUGCCGUGAUCCAGCUACGCCAUCUUGCAGAGAAUCCUCUAUGUUGUAGUAACUCGAGCAGGUAGUCCCACCGUACGGAAUCGAAGGCCUUUGAGAUAUCCAGUUUCAUUAGCAGUGUCGGCUUGCCUCGUCUGUGGAACCUUCUCGCCAUGUUGCGGACAUAUAAGAAAUUGUCAUGGAUACUUCGUCCUUUAAUGAAGGCACUCUGGCUUGGCGAGAUCAAUUUGUCCAUGUAGGGCUGAAGCCUAGUGGCUAGGGCUUUGGUAAUGAUCUUGGCUAUUGCAUGUAUGAGACUGAUCGGCCGGAAAUCGUUGAUACUUUCUGCUCCGUCUUUUUUGGGUAUCAGCACGAUAGCUGCGGUGUUAAUUAAAUUGAAGUCGUUGCAUCGCCCAGCGUGGAAGGCGUUUACCGCUGCUGUGAUGUCUCCCUUGACGAUGUCCCAGCAAGACUUGAAGAACAAUCCUGUGAAACCAUCCGGGCCUGGCGCUUUAUCUUUGGGCAGGGCGGUUAUCGCAUUUUGUAUUUCUUCCUCUGAGAAAGGAUCGUCAAGUCCGGAUAGGUCCACCGAUGGAAAAUGCAGGUGUUCCCAGUUGAAAGUUUUGGUGCGGGCUGGGGGCGUGGACAUGACCGUGCUGAAGUGACUUUGGAUGAUUUGCUGUUUUUGUAGGUGCGUCACAGCCCAUUCGUUUCCUCUCCUCAAUCGCUGAAUGAAGUUUUUUCGUCGUCUCCCAUUUGCCUUAAGAUGAAAAAAUUUUGUAUUCGCGUCUCCUUCGCGUAGGUAGGUUAUCCUAGAGCACUGUUUUUUCCUUGCUUUCUCUAUGGCCGCCCAUCCCAACAGUCGUUGUUUUAGUUUGGCCCGUAUAGUGUGCUCAGAUGCCGUGAGCGUUCUUGACUCUUCAGCUAUAUCAAGGCGUAGGAUCACUUCUUGUGCCAUAUGUAGUUUUAGACGAGCAUCUGAGACAUGCGUUCGGCUCCAUGUCCGAAGUGCGCGGGCCGUAUUGUGUAGUUUGCAACCCAGCCUGUGGAACGGCUCAGUAUGGGCUGUCGGCUUUGACCAUUCGUUGUUUACCGUUUCGCGGAAUCCAGGCAGUCUUGCCCAAAAGUUUUCGAAACGGAAGGGAGUCGGUUUGCGAGGUCCUGAUUGUUGCGCUAGUAUCAACGGGCAGUGGUCUGAGUGCGAGGAGGAUAUGGCGUGGAGAACGUGAUUGUCAAAUUUUAUAUCCCAAGGUGCAUUGCAGAAAACUCUGUCAAUUCGCGUUAGCGUCGGCUGGCGUCGUGCAUUGCUCCAGGUGAAACGCCUAUUUUGUAGGUGUAUUUCUUUAAGACCGCAGAAGUUCAGGGUUGCCCUGAAGGCUCUCAUGAGGCUCCGGUUUAGGUUGGAAUUGUUCUUGUCUGCCGCACUAUAUAUUAGGUUGAAGUCACCUAGUAUUAGCCAUUGGGUGUCGUCGUCAGGCGCUAUGGCUCGUAGUUGACGUAGGAAUGCAGGCUUUGCCGAGUGUCUUGCCGGACCGUACACUGUCGUAAGUUGGAAGCGGUCGUUGCUGUGUUUGACUAUUGCUGUCGCUGAAAUGCAAGAGCGACUGGUUUGGAUAUCCUGCAGAUCAAAAACUCCCCCGUCCCAGAGUACUAGUAUGCCGCCUUUUGUGCCUGCGGCCGCUUGAUAUGUGAAAUUUGAUAAGCGAGGCCCUCCUAGUAGAUGUACUAGUGCCGCGUCGAUGUUUUGCAAUUUGGUUUCCUGUAGACAGACAAUGUGGCAUGGUGUAGCCGCUAUGGUUUCGCGUACUGUAAGACAUCUUGCAGGGGAGUUCAACCCUCGCACAUUCCAACUCAUUAUUUGAAAAUUGUUACUCAUUAGGGGCAUGUCUGUAGCGCACGGAGGUGGACGGAUCGGUGGGCUGAUCGGAUUUCAGUUGAUGCGGCCAUUGCGUUUUAACUUGUCGAGUGGUAGUCCCCUGGGCGCAUCGCGUUGUGGUCGAGGUUGCCGUUAUUGUGGAUUUGCGAGCGUCUGCGCAUUUUGCAAUAGCUAGAAAAGGCGUCCCUGUUUUAGGUGAGUCGUAGUCGGGGCGUAGUGCGUAGUUCAUGGUUUCUGCCCGAAGGUCGCAGCCAGCAGGGCUAGAGUGGAGUCCUCCCCGAAGGUCGCAGCCAGCAGGGUGAGGAGCAUCCAUAUAAGGUACAUAUAGGUAGCAAUGCAUAAACUGAUAGAGGGACGCUGGACGUAAGUGCCACAGUAGAGGUUUAUGGAGCCGCAUGGUGCAUCUGUUGGAGCUCAUCGAUAUCAACGCCGGCCAUCUGUAGAAGGGCUUCAUUAGCUUGAUCCGCCGCUGCGUCGUCAAGGUCGAAGAGAGUAGUCAUGGCGGCGAUAAUGUAGUCCGGCAGUGGUCCCUGAAACAUGUUAAGAAAAUCCUGCAAAAUCUGCUCAAUUGGCGUUAUGUCUUCAUUUCCGAUGCCUAGUUUUUUGCAAAGAUUGCGCUGCGCUCGUUCUACCGCUGGCAUAGCCGGUUUUUUAGCUAAACGUGCGCUGCGCCGAACUUUGGUCAUGUCAAAGGUGCGGCUUUUGCGUGUGCGCUGCGGUGGGGUGUGUAGCAGAACUGGUGGUGGUGGGUUUACGAACAGGUUCUCCACUUGGGGCUGUUGCAUGACUUGUGUCUCGGCGGAUUGUAUCUGGGAGAGCGUGGGCCGGUUUGGAGUUGUGUUGUUGGCCGUUCUGGUGCGGCGGUGGUAUAGUAUGGGCGCUGGUUUUGUUUUGCGGGCCGCAGUGUUGUGCUCAGUGUUGUGCUGUUGGGCCAUAGUGGCUAUGUCCCCUCGGCAUGCUUCCUGUCGCAGCGAUGAUGGGCUCCCGAAGUGGGCUUCCGGCCUCCCCCUUGCCGUGGCAAGUUGGUUUCCCUGGCGGGCCGCCCCACCAGGAGGGCAACCUUGCUGGGCCGCCCUGCCGGGCGAGCCAUUCUUCUUCCGCUGGGCCGUGUUGCCAGACAAUGCUGCUAGCUGGGCCUCAUCGCUAGGAGAGUCCUCUCGCUGGGCCAGGUCGCGCGGGCUCCGCCGGUCGUCCUCAGUCACCAUGCACAGUGCAUCGAGGGCGCUGCUGACCUCGUCGACCGUCGGAGAGGCCGCCGUCGCCUCCGCCGCCGGCCCCAGCAUCAGCGCCGAGCGGAGCGUGGUGAAGACCCGCGGCAGCGGCACAGGAGCGGACCAGGCCUCAUCCCCCGUCACCUCGUCGUCGAUGCCGAUCCGAUCCGCCAGCCAGCUGGCCUUGCGGAGGUACUCGUCGGCGCCGUCUUUCCAGAAACGCUUCCUGGCAUCUAAUGUGGAGGGGUCAGCAGAAGGAGGUGCUUCGAUUACCUGUUGGUGGAUGUAGUCCUUCAGAGUUGCCGCCUGCGCCGCGAAGAGGGCUUGGAGCUGGGAUGGAGGUAAGGCUGCAAGUCUCUGAUUGUCGUCGUCGUGGCGCCGUCCGCUCGGGGGGCCGUAGUUGCGCCGUGGUGGAGAGCGGGUGCGGUCACGGCGUGUUGUUUCCGCGCACCCCCAGUAAUCGGACUUGAAGUGGCACCCCUGUCCUGGGUGGGUGUAGUCGUCGUCUUGGUCGUCGUCAUCGCCGCGACGGGACGGCCAGUUGAAUGGCCGGUCGUCGCAGCGUUGUCGUGCCGCCUGGCGCUUGGCGCCGUCAUCUUUGUUGCGGUGGGCUUGAUGAGUGGAGAUGUCGCGUCGCCGUCCACCGUCUUCUGGUUCCCCCACGGCUCUGCGUCUUGGCUCUGUUCUGUGGCCGCCCGCCGGGGCGCGCCGCCCUUCGUUGUGGUCGCCUGCUGAGCUCUCCCGCGGUGGUCGAGGUAGUCGCGCCGGAUAGCGCGAGCGGGCGUCGGAGGGCGCCCCGUCAAUCAGGCCGUAGCGCCAUUCGUAGCGCCGCCUGAUGGGGACGAUGCUCUGUGGGUUGUCGAUGGCUUGCUGGAGGUCCCGCGCCGCCGCCGAGUAGUCCUCCAGAAGAGGCAGGUGUAUGAAGACUUCAUACCGAGUCCCUUGCUGCCAUGGCAGCUGCAAGGGCUCGGCCGAGACAGCGAAGGAAGAAGAGCUUGCUGCUGGGCUAUUGGUGAAAGCGAGCCAUACCUUCUUCGGGAUUUCACUUGGGUCGACGGUCCAAGCCCAGAGUUCUAUGUGUCUGGAGUCCGCCGGUUGAAGAAGAUCGGUGACGAUGUGUUGUAGAGCGCACUUGUGGCCGAUGACUCGCUCCACGAUCUCCGGUGUCCACGCGUGCGCCGGAAUCCCGUCGAGGCAGAGGCGGACUCUGUAGAAGAUGCGGAAUCCCAGUGCGUGGGUGAGGCUUCGCCAGGGGCGGAGGCAGAUGUCGAUGCCGGCGCCUGUGAACCUGCGUCGCCGUCGUGCCGCCGCCGCAUGCUCCGCCUGCUCGAACUUGAUGAGGUAAGGUUCGGGCUGGUGGAGAGUGACUGUGACGUCUCCUGGCCUCAGGUGGAGCUCUCUGGUGAGGAGUGCGGCGAUAUCCCUGGCGCCGGCAGCAGGGGGCAGGUGUAUUGCCCACGGAACGAGUGCGCAAGCUUCCCAGUCGCAGGCAUCAUGCUGAAGGUGGAAGGUGGGGGAAACGAAGACGGUCUCAACCUCCGGCCUGGUGUUCGGGUCGCCAAUAGCCAUUUUGGGUGCGGCGGCGCUUGGUUUUGCUGGGUGGCGGUUGUGGCUUUCAGGGGCGCUGCGGUGUGUAUGAGGGCUUGUGCUUUGGUUCAGCGGGCGGCGGUGGUGGGUGGGGGGUCUGGCGGUGGGUGGCGGAUGAUGGCGAGCAGGCUCCGGCGGUGUGGAGGUGCAGGGCUCAAAUCGGCGAGGCGGCGGUCCCUCUGCUCUGCACUCGCGCUCUCUGUGCCCGGAGCGCCGGCACCGGAAGCAGCGCACCGGGUCGCGGCACUCGGAGGCGAAGUGGUUGGGGGCAAGGCAGCGGAAGCAGAGUCCCUGAGUCGCCCGCUUAAAGGCCAGCAGAGCUCGGCUUGAUGGCCGUCUUGAAGUGUCGCUGCGGCUCCGGUCAUGUCCGCCGUCGCGUCUUGGCUCCUCGGGCCGCGCUUGCCGCCGCGUUCUUCGGCUUGUCACAGUGUGCCAAUCCUGGAGAUCCGAAUUGUGCCGCUGAGCCCCCUUUACUCCCCCAUACGGAGGUCCAGGAGGCGGAGGCGCUGGUGCGGGGUCUUGAAUGCGCCGCGUUGCUGUCGUGUCGCCGGAUGUACGCCGUCGUCCUUGGGUCGGUGGGCUGCCGUCACCAGGGUGGCGUAGAUGUACUCGAGCAGGUGAGGUAUUGAAGGCUCUGCCGCUGACGACUUCUGCGUAGGAUCGCAUCCUACACCGCGCGUCGGGUCUGUGGGCAGCAGGCAGGAGAUCUUGAAGGGGAGGUCGCGGAUCCGGCGAGGUGACCGCCGGAUCCGGCGAUUCCGGCACCCAAUCGACCUCGGUCGUCGGCCGCCGGUGAAUCCGCGGUGGUGGCGGCGGGGAGGCAUGGGUAAACUGCGCCCAGGCUCUCGCUGAGGUGGGGGAUAGGGGUCCGGGCAGGUGGAUCUGGGCGCGGUGGAUCUGAGGUUGGGUGGGCGCCGGCAAUGGUGGGCGGCGCGGCGGUGGUGGAGCGGCGGGGGCUUGGGGGGAAGGGGGAGCGGGGGGGGCUCGGUGGGGAAGCAUUUUCCAUGCACUGCUUUAGGAUGCACCAAUAACUGUAACAAAUGGAAUUACCCAAAAACAAAAUCAGAAGUUGAUGAGCCUUUGUGCAUGCUCACCAAUUCAGGAAAUUGGCGCCAACACAAACUGCAACUCCUGGUGCUUGUACCAACGCAAAUAUCACACUACACAUUUCUGCCAAAAAAAGAAAAAACUGCAGAUGAUACAAGUAGGCAUGGUGGUUUCUCAGUGCCACAAAGAGCUGCUUGGAAAUUGCUCCCCCAAUUGUUAUGAGAUUAUUUUACCCUCUCUAUUUGCAUGCAUGGUUCAUGUCUUUUAAUUCUUCAGCUCAUAGCCCUGUUUUGAAAUUUGAACCUCCAGGAUUACUCACAAUGCAGGAGACCAUUGACAUUGACAAGCACAGUGAUAUGCUGCAACACCUGGAGGCAGUUGUAAAUUCUAGAGACUGAAUUUGGAAACAUGCAUGAUGAGUCUGAGAAUGAGAUAUAUGAAUCUCAUAGGAUGAAUUCAAAUAAAAACACAAGAUCUAGUUGAUCUGGCAUCUCUUAAGUAAGAUUACAUAGAAACUCAACAGCAAGCUCAAGCUGAAGUUGAAGGCAGUGGAUUGAGAUGGAGGAGGAGGCUCUGGCAUGCCGAAUCGAUCAUCUUCCAGUCCCAGUGCAAGCUAGCUUUGUGGUCUGAUCGUCUGAUCCAGUCCAGCGUAAAAUUCUCUCAAGGCCGCCUCGAACUGCUCCGGGUCCACCUCCUCCUCCUCCUCCUCCUCGUCGUCGCUGGAGCCAUAGUGCGGCUGGCCGUCCUCAUCGAUGUAGAGGUACGGGAUCCUGAAAUUCAUGAUCCUCCUCCUCCUCCUCCUCCCCUGUUCCUGCUCCUGCUCGUGGUCGUCCUCCGUAGACAGCUGGUGGCGGCAGAGAGGGCAGACGGCGUUCCGGCGGAGCCACUCGAAGAUGCAGUGCUCGUGAAAGGUGUGCGAGCAAGGCAUGGCCCUCACCGGAACUGGAUGGGCCUUGUCGGAGUAAUCGAGAUCCUGAAGGCAGAUGGCGCAGCAGUCGUCGUCGGACCCGUCCGUCGGCGGCGCCGUCACCUCCCGCAGGCCUUGGAUGGCCUUGCUGGAGGCGGCGACGCGGCCGCGCUUGUUGCUGAUGGAAGCGGCGGCGGCAUCGCCUCGGGUGAGUGACGAGACCGACGCCGGCGGGUAAAGCGGCGGCGGCGUGGCUUGGUCAAACAACGGCGGCGACUCUCCUCCUCCUUGGGCUUCGAUCUCCCCAAUCUCCCACACUAUAUCUUCUUCCAUGGCAGGGAUCGGAAGGGAGACGGCACCCAAGAGGAACAAUGGCCAAGACAGAGACGACGAGUUGAUUGAUGGAUGGAUCCAUUGGUUAUGUAGGCGGUGGUGGCGGCAAAUCACCGGGAGUCGGACUCCGAUCUGCUGCUGCUGCUUGGAUCGCACGCGCGCGGUGUCCGAUUCCGAUCCGCAUCCAGAAUCUACCUUCUCGUCGGGCAAUUGCAGGUUCAGACUUCAGAGGUGUCAUCAGCCACUGAACAGGUAGGUCUUGUUUUUGAUCUGCAAGCUGCAGCUUCCUGAAACAACUGUAAUUGCAGCUUCCCUUGUUGGCGCAAUGGAUCUCAUCUACUGCAAAUUUGCAAUUUUAUUUGGCCAGUUUCUUUUGACUUUGUAAUUAGCAUGGCUAUGUAUGCCAGUAGUGCCUUUUUCUCUUUUGACGUUUUAACUCCUCCGGGCAGAUGGCAUUCACCUCCCCAUCCGUAGAGCUACAGAUUCUGAAAACUAACACUGAAUGCUUCAAAUUUUGCCAAAGUUCAGAGAUAUUUAUCUGUCAAACUAAUUAUCCUUUGAGCGUACAACUGUUAUACAACUUGUAGCACUAUGUACCAGCUCCAUCCAAUUUCUAGUAAAGGUUCAUGGUCGGCUACAGUUUGAAAUUUGAUGAAAUUUAGCAAGUUUGGUGAUCUGAGCAGCUGACUGCGCUGUUGAUCGUCCAAAGACUCUGUCAUUCCGUUCUCGCCAAAUGGUCCAAGAGAUCAACAUGAAAGAGGAGUCGAGGCCCUUUCGACGUAACAAGCAUCCAUAUCCAUCUAGUAUAUGUUUUUAAGGAAAAAUCAUUUUUUUCUGCAGACGGCCAAUGUAGUAUUUCCCCACAGACCUAGCUGGAGUACUGAAAUACUAAUUGGCAAGCACAGGGGUAGCAUAAUAGGAGAGAACACACACGUUGAGUUAAUUUCAGGUUGUAAAGGAUUUAUAAAUUCGACUGUGAGCUCAGCUGGAGCGGGAAUGAUGCAUCUGGCACAAAAUAGAUCAGAAGGACCAGCUUCCCGGUGACCAUCACCGUGGCCUGAGGGGGCAUGGCAAGGAGCACAGUGAAAUGCCGGCGACGGAUCUUCAUCCACACUAACAAAUCUGUGAUAACUAAUGCCAAUUGUAUUGUACUUUACAAAGCAACUGAUAGCCAUGUGUGCAUGCAUGGUUCAUCUCUUAAUUCUUGAGCUCAUAGCCAUGUUUUGAAAUUUGAACCUCCAGGAUUACUCAAUGCAGGAGACCAUUGACAUUGACAAGCACAGCACAGCGAGGCUGUGGUCUGUGAUAUGCUGCAACACCUGGAGGCAGUUGUAAAUUCUAGAGACUGAAUUUGGAAACAUGCAUGAUGAGUCUGAGAAUGAUAUGAAUCUCAUAGGAUGAAUUCAAAUAAAACACAAGAUCCAGUUGAUCUGGCAUCUCUUAAGUAAGAUUUACAUGGAUAUAUCUAAGAUACGCCUCUCCUGCCAUGCCUUGCGGUGGGGGUAGAAACUCAACAGCAAGCUCAAGCUCAAGUUGAAGGCAGUGGAUUGAGAUGAAGGAGGAGGCUCUGGCAUGGCGAAUCGAUCAUCUUCCAGUCCCAGUGAAAGCUAGCUUUGUGAUCUGAUCGAAUGAUCCUCAGCUGAGGCUGCGGCGUUGCGCCCCAUGUUGAGCCAACCAGCGUAAAAUUCUCUCAAGGCUGCCAUACUCACCACAACCUCCUCCUCCUCCUCCUCCUCGUCGUCCCUGGAGAAAGGUUGCGCCGUGUAGUACCAGAAGCCAUAGUCCUGGCCCUCCUCAUCGCUGUAGACGAACCGGGUCCUGAUCCUCCUCAUCCCCUGUUCCUGCUCCUGCUCGUGGUCGUCCUCCGUGGGCAGCUGGUGGCGGCAGAGAGGGCAGACGGCGUUCCGGCGGAGCCACUCGAAGAUGCAGUGCUCGUGGAAGGUGUGCGAGCAAGGCAUGGCCCUCAGCGGAACUGGAUGGGCCUUGUCGGAGUAAUCAAGAUCCUGAAGGCAGAUGGCGCAGCAGUCGUCGGACCCGUCCGUCGGCGGCGCCGUCACCUCCCGCAGGCCUUGGAUGGCCUUGCUGGAGGCGGCGACGCGGCCGCGCUUGUUGCUGAUGGAAGCGGCGGCGGCAUCGCCUCGGGUGAGUGACGAGACCGACGCCGGCGCGUAAAGCGGCGGCGGCGUGGCUUGGUCAAACAACGGCGGCGACUCUCCUCCUCCUUGGGCUUCGAUCUCCCCAAUCUCCCGCACUAUAUUUUCUUCCAUGGCAGGGAUCGGAAGGGAGACGGCACCCAAGAGGAACAAUGGCCAAGACAGAGACGACGAGUUGAUUGAUGGAUGGAUCGAUUGGUUAUGUAGGCGGUGGUGAUUGGCAAGGGGCGGGCGCCUCUGCCCAACCACCCGCCACCCGUCCGACUCCGGCCGCCGCCGUCGAAGCCGGCCUCCACGUCACGCUCUCUUCCUCCCCUCCCUCCUCCUCUCUCCCUCUCCACUCCCACUCCGCAAACCCUAGCACCGCCGGUAGCCUAGAUCUGCCACCGAUCGCCGGCUGCCGCGGGCAGAUCCGCCUCCCCUGAGCUUGGAUCUACUCAUCCUGGAUGCAGGGCCCCUUCCCCGAUGGCCGCCACGUUCUCUCUCCCCCUUUCCAUCGCCUGGAGGACAGGGGUCGCGACCGGAUCCACGUUCUCCCUCCGCCACCCCUUCCACUGCCAGAGGCCGAGCGGCGAGGGUAGCUGCACCCCUACCCGGCUAUCAGGUCCGCCGGGGGGUGGGGCUCUGUACGCCGCCGCCGGCACCGCUGGCGCGUGGCCGCCCAAGUGGACCACGACCGGAUCCGUGUCCCUCCCCUUGCCACCCAUUCCGCUGCGAGGAUGGUCGCGUCCCUCCCCGGCUGUCGGGUCCAUCGGGGGCGGGGCUCUGUGCGACGCCGCUGGAGCGUCCCCCCUGGUGGCGCAUUUUCGCCAACUGGGGGGGGCGAACAACUGGCUAUGUGGCAGCAUUCUUCCACUCCUUGGCGCCCGGCAGUCCCUGUGCUCCUGGUGGCAGCGGUGAUUUCUGGGGAAGAAACGGGGUUAGGCGAAAGCCUUGUGCCUGCUUGCAGGUCGAUGAUGGCGACGCCCCCGGGUGCCACUUCCUUUCUUGAAGGUGUCAUUCAUUCCCCUUUUCCCUCCCUACGACGAGUUUUCGGGUGAAAACCUUGACCGUGUUGGUCGGACGACGACGGCGCCAGUGGUGUCGCCCCCUCCCUUGAGGCGUGGUUUUGGAAGCUUAGCGGGCUCUUGCUGCUGUCACUGCAGGGAUCAUUGCUGAACGCCGCCCCCGGUCGUCUCCGUCGGUCAGAGUCCUCGUGGUGGCUGUCUCGGGAAGUGUCUUCUUCUGUGCCUACCCUUGCUUCAAUUUGUCAACUCCGCUCGGGUUGCUUAGGUCGUCGUCGUCUAGCAGAUGCUUUGCCACUGUAGUUGCUUCGGGUGGAUGCUUUGCCAUCGCGGUUGUGCUGGUUAGGUGGAUGCUUUGCCACUGUUGUUGUGUUCGGGCGGAUGCUCUACUGCCGUGACCUUUAACACUCUUGACGAGGUUGCAUCUUUUGGCAGGUUCAGGAGAGUGGCUAUGUCUAGGUACGUGGGUUCGAGUGUGCUUCCUCUUUAUUGUUUCGCGUCGUAUGGUGGUUGUUUGUCUGUUUCUUUUUCUUUGUUCUUUUGUGCUCUCGUGCUGGUCAAGCUCUGCUUGACUUCAUCGAGAUUGUGUCUGUAAACUACUUUCUUGUUAAUUGAAAGGUGCUGAGGCACUCACGAAAAAAAAGAGCGUACAACUGUUAUAGAACUUGUAGCACUUUGUACCAGCUCCAUCCAAUUUUUAGUAAAGGUUCAUGGUCGGCUAUAGUUUAGAGAUAUUGUAGUUCACUUGAAAAGGUUCUCAUGCAGCCGCUACAUGAACAAGCUUGAUACUUUUGUGAACUUCCCAAUCCAUGAGGCCAUGACCUCAGUAUGAGCAAAUAUGUCAAGCAGAUGUCGAGAGGUGAUAAGCAGCCCAUGUCUGAACUCUAUGCGCUGAUCAAUCCUAAUGAUGAUCUGGGUGCUGGACACUACUCAGCAUACGCAAAGGUACUUGCAUUUUCGUGUCACUGUUAUAUUAACAUAUUAUAUUUAUAUAUGUUUGCAUUAUUGUAAGUAUUCUUAAUUGUAUAGCUUCCUGAAGCUGCCUAUGGUGUCACUUGCAGCUAGUUGAAGAGGGUAACUGCUAUCAUUUUGAUGAUAGUCAUGCCUCCUCUGCUAAUGAGGAUGGGAUCAGGACGUUUGCAGCACAUGUCUCCUGAAUAUAUGUAGGUUUCUUUGCCUUCAAUAAUAGGUUAGAGGUGAUGGUGCGAUUGAUUUUUGAAAUUGUAGCCUGAACAAUACAUUUUAUGCUUGCACUUGCAGGGAGCUUUUGCAGGAAUCAUUAUUUCUUUUUUAUUUCCAAAGGAUGAAGAGGACUACGAGGAGGCCAAGUUCAAUGCUCCAAUGCUCUUCUAGGCAGAUGGCAUUCACCUCCCAUCCAAUGCUCCAACAGAGUUACUGGACCUGAGACAUUUAAAUAACUCCUUCCUAACGUACAACGGUGUAACCAUGUCCCGAAUAUAUCAUAUACAAACUACUAGUAUUUGCAAGCAAUAUGGUAAUUGCAUACUUGACUCUUGAUCACAUCAACAGAACAUCACUUCCAUUGUCGUCUAGUCCGGUUAGGAUACCUGGCUUUCACCCAGGCGACCCGGGUUCAAAUCCCGGCAAUGGAAUCUUUUUUUUUUUGUUCUCUUUUUCUCAAUUCCCUCAAUCAGACCUCUCCUUUUCUCGUUCAGUAUUUGAUGUUCUUGUCCGUCACAUGACAAAUCUCAGGAAAUUAUUCGCAACAAACAAUUUGUUCUUCUUCUCUAUUCCGUAGGAUUGGGAUAAAUAUGGGCGAACGCAUUGGGCUGGGCUGGAAGGGCUUGACACGGCGGUGCAAUUUGAGCAAUGGGCCGAACAGAGGAGGAACGGCCCACCAGAGUCUCUCGGGACAGAGGAAGGAGAACCCGACCCCGAGUCGGUGUCGGGCAAAUGGCACGGCGGCGCAGUCACCCGCGCUGCACUCGGAACCGGGGACCCGAGUCGGAUUCAGCAAUGGCGUUUCCUCUCUGGCACGCGCGUAUAUAGCUGAGCCUCCACGCCCAACACUUCCUCAUCAGAUUGUGAUCGCUCGCUCCGCCUCGCCUCCUCCGCUCGAUCACCUGCGCGUCGGCGGCGGUGCUUCCCUUUCUCUGUCUGUUGUGUCUCCCCGUCCGUCGCUGAUCCAUGGCCAUACCGGUGGCGCGCGUGCACCUCGCCAUGGCGCACGCGGCACUUCCAGGCCUGCUCCCGUCCCCGCCCAAGCGCAUGAUGCUGCCGCUGCUCCCGGCGCCGCCGUGCACCGCCAUCAUCCUCCCCUGCUCGCCUCCCAGCAGGCCCAGCCGCGCCGAUGCCGUGGAGAGGUGGGACGCGCACAAGAUCAAGAUCAAGCAGGGCGGCGGCAGCCCAGCGUCGCCGCCGCCGCCGUCAGCUGGCCAGUGUUCCUUGAACAGCAUCAGUGGCCCCGGGGGCACGUCCUUGUCCGAGAAGUGGGUGAGCAAGAAGAAGAGCGCCGGUGCCGGUGCCGCGACGUCAUCCUCGUCAAGCAGCAGCAGCAGCAGCAGCAACGGCCGCGCAGACUCCGAGGAGAGGUGGGACGCGCACAAGAGGCCGGCGAGCCCCGCCGCGUCGUCGUCCUCGGCAACAAGCAGUAACAGGACGAAGACGCGCCAAAUCAGCAGGCGCCCCAACGGCGGCCGCGCGUUGUCGCCGUCGUCUGCCGACCGCUGGGACGCCAACAAGAAGCCUCGGGCGCCGCCGGCCGCCGCCGAGCUCGACGACGGCGAGAGCAGUACUGGAAGCAACGACAUGGAGCUGGUGGUGGACAAGGCGGCCCGACGGGCAUUCUACGCUGGACCGGGCUUCAACAGGUCGCCGGAGCCGAGCAUGCUUCCCAAGCCAUCGUUCCUGAGGAUACGCGUUGCCUAGCUGCACGCACGCACGCACGCACGCACGAACGCACGCACGCACGAGGGGAUGGCGGACGGCAAUAGAAUUGGAAAGUUAGCACUUUAGCAGCGCGUGUGUACCCUUUCUGUUGUUGUGUUGUAGUUGCUGCAAAGUAUGUAAUCUUGUGUUGCGUCGAUUUUAUGUAAAUUUCUUCUCCUAUCACCUCUAACAGCAACUCCAAAAACGAAUCUGUUGCCUAGUUAAACAAUCGAAUCCUGGCCCGAAUUUCUGAAAUUCACCCGGUGACAUCCCAAAUUUUUCAUAUUUCGAAUCCAAAAACCCUGGCCAUAAGUCCUUAUAUUUGUUGACAAAUUUGAAAAAUGUGAAGUUCUUACAUUUGUCGACCAAGAGAAUAUGUAACUUUUGAUGUAAUAUGUGGAUUUUCCACAAUAAAUGAUAAGAAAAGUUAAAAAAAGAGACAAACCCAACAUCUUUAUAUGGUCAAGGAAAAUAAAGAUCUAGGUUGAUCAAAAACAUCUAGGUUGAUCUAAAACAUCUAGGUUGAUCUAAAAGUUCAAUCCGCAUGGUAAUGCCAAUAACAGUAUGAGAAACUCCACGGUGGACAUGCUCACACUGAUGGAAAGAACCACUCUGAAUAAGAUUGGUACUUUAGUUUUACAAAUUCUCCACUAUGGAUAUGAGUGGGCUCAUACCUUAAUGCCAUGUAGUGCGGUGUAGGUUGCUAGAUGUGCCUUGAAGACUACAUCUAUAUAUAGGAGCUAUAUGUGUAAUACCAAAUGAAUAAUGAGAAGAUGUAUAGCUCCCUCGUAUACUUGUCUCUUGUGUUCCUUCUAUGGUGGUCAUGUGUAUUAGGGAGAGGGAAACGGGAUCUAUCUACAACUUCUUCACGCCUUGUUCUUGGAAGGGAAUUGGGGAACUGUAUACGCGUUGCCUAGCUGCACGCACGCACGAGGGGAUGGCGGACGGGACGACAAUGGAAUUGGAAAUUCUUUUAGCAAUAGUGUGUGCAUCUUUUCUUGUUGUGUGUUGUUGUUGCUCCAGCAAAGUAUGUUCAUACCCUUGCGUCGAUUUCAUGUAAAUUUGUUCUCCUGUCAUGUCACCUCUAAACUGCACUGCGAUAAUGCUAAUAUCAUGCUUGAUCUAUGCAAGUAAACUCUUUGAUUGAUGUUUGUUUCGAUUUUAGUGUGUAAGUAGAGAUGCUUUUAUGGCGCGUACAUAUUUUUUCAUUAAAAAAUUUAGUAAAUAUAAGCAUUUGAUUCGUAGAUCAAAUUACCUGGGCCUCAUAUACCAACAAAGAAACUUUGUAGAAUGGGAACUUUGUACAAAUUUGGUUAAAUUUUAAAUGGUUUGAUUUAAGAUAAGACUAGAAUAACCUAGCAUGGGACCCAUGUAUAGAAUAAAUGCCGGUUCGACAAUAAAAUAAAUUUUACCGACUUUUUAGGUCUUAAGCAGCAACGAAGAGUUGUGCGGCAUUAGUGGAAAAGGCCUUACCAUCACUGAGCCGAAGUACUUGGUUCUAUAGGUCCGACAUGAUUCAACCUCGCAAGACAACGAUGUCAGAUAGGAUCUACCCUAACAAACUAUCGUAUGUGUUUUCCAGCCCUGAUGGGUAGCGUAUACAUACUUGACUAUCCACCCCCCUCACUCAAAAAUAGUAUCAGGUGCGAAUUUGUUUGGAAACAAUUAAAGUUCCGAUGGCAAAUACUGAAUUUUCUCCUGAGAAGUGCCAAAGUCUUAUUCCAUCCAUACCGUGGUGUUUUCCAGCCCAUAUUGCUAUUUGAUAUGCUUAUCUAGAUCUACCGCAUUGAAACCGCCCCUUCAUAAAAGAUAGUACUAUGUUGGUAGUGGCAACAAAAAACCAAAUGGUCAUCUCAUAAACGUAGAUAAUUUUCACAUAUGAUAACUGAUAAGAUGCAUGAAGUUCUUAUAAAAAAAGAGACAGAAACAUUGUUUUUUUCAGCUUCUACUGCCACGGAAAGGACCACUCCGCGCUAAACACAGCUGAUGAUGGUAUGAUGUCCUUCGUCUUCCCGUCAAGGAACACCGGGCUGCUCGUGCGGCUCCUCAGGUCAUAGAAACCAUAGCUGGGAAGAGGGCUGUAGUCAUCGCAGGCUUCGCAGCCAUAAUCGGGGCACAGAGCUUCCUUGCAACACGUCGGCAGAUCAAUGCCGAGAAAGUAGACACGGUUCCCUUGAAACCUCUCGUCGUCGACGUCGCCCGUCGUUAAGCGAAGUGAUCUGGAGCACCCUCUGCUGACGAAGAGAGCCUGGUCGUCACCCAAGCUGUCGACCUCGAGCCACCGACCCAUCCCCAAAUCCGCCUCGAAGACCUUCAUCUUGAUCCCCUCGAGAACCUUCGCGGCUGUUCCUUCGUUAAGGCGACGAGGAACACUCCAUUUCACCAUCAGCAGCUUUCCGCCGCAAGAUGACACGACGAGGUAGCGCAUCUUGCUGGGACGCUCUUCCUGCAGGUCAGUCGUUGGUGGGGACGACGAUUCUGAUGCCUUGAUGACAUGCUCGUCUUGAGAUUCUCCGGCGAUCUCUCCGUCGAUGACCUCAAGAGCGAAGAGGUCGUCCAUGGCGGUGAGGGCGUAGAGCUUGCCACGGUGGAAGGCGACGUCCUGGUACCACGAGCCGUGGCCACGAGUAUAUGGAGGAAGAGAAGAUAACCACAUGGGAGGACCCAGCCGGUAGCCGUCUGGCUGGGGCGCCAUCAUCUUACGCUUCAGGGACGCGGUGGAGAUGACGGCUGGCGCCGUGCCGCCGCCGUCAUGGAGGCGGCGGCGCGGUGGCACCUUUGUGGCAGCGGCGCCGGCGGAGGAAGCGUUGACGAGGACUCGUGCGGUAGAUGCGCCGUAGAACUCGUACAGGACCCAGCAGCCGUCCAGGGAGCAGAAGCAGUCCUUCAUGUCGGUAGGCGGCCCCACUUCGCCGGCGCCCGUGAAGGCUCGCGGCAGCAGCCUGCCGCGGUCCGGGCAGUCUGCUGUAGAUGGGGACACGUUCAAGCAGAUCCACGGCAGCGCUGGCGGCAGAUGCUGCUGCUCGGCGAGGCCGAGGCGCCACCACUGGCGGCAGACGGGGCCGAAGCUGAGGCGGUCGACGACGUGGGACGGCAGGCGGCAGAGGAUGAGGCCUCCGACCUCCGGCGGGAGGUCCGACCAAAGGGGCACAUGGUCCUGCGGCGAUGACGGGCGUGGUUGUCCUUUGCUCAGGCAGGUGCCCAUUAAUCGAUGCCGAAAAGAGACGAGACGAUGGCAUGGGCAGCCAUGUGGCUUCUAGAUAUAUACAUGACAAACAAACUAGGGCUGCAUCUUACGAGUCGUCGUAUGUAACUCGGACUGCCUAAGAGAUAUUGCUGUUGAGAUUUUGGUUUGGCUGUUAGAGAUAAGAGUCUUGAUGUAACAAUAUUUCAACCGAACCAAAUAUCUCCAAUAUCCUAGGUUGUAAUCUAACCUAAUCUGUUGGGGGACUUUCUCCCUAUAUAUUAUCGAGAUAGGCAACCACGCUCUAUUCUUUUACAUGGUAAUCAGAGCAUCUUAUUCCACAAUACAUCUACCCGACCACUUGACCCAUGCGUCGCCCUCGAUCAGCCUCAUCUUUUGUUCGGAUUUGAGGCUAAAAGAGAUCGAUCUGCUGUUUCAUGUAAACCUAACGUUAGCCCAUAUGGCAACAGACUCCAACCAUAAUAUCUCUCGACGACGGGCGUGGUUGUCCUUUGCUCAGGCAGGUGCCCAUUAAUUGAUGCCGAAAAGAGACGAGACGAUGGCAUGGGCAGCCAUGUGGUUUCUAGAUAUAUACAUGACAAAGAAGCGGGCUUUUCACGGUUAAGGUUAAACAAACUAGGGCUGCAUCUUACGAGUCGUCGUAUGUAACUCGAACUGCCUAAGAGAUAUUGGUGUUGAGAUUUUGGUUUGGCUGUUAGAGAUAAGAGUCUUGAUGUAACAAUAUUCCAACCGAAUCAAAUAUCUCCAAUAUCCUAGGGUGUAAUCUAACCUAGGCCUGGUUUGGUUCGUUUGCUUAUUUUUAAGCACCCGUCACAUCGAAUGUUUAGAUACUAAUUAGGAGUAUUAAACGUAGACUAUUUACAAAACCGAUUACAUAAGUGGAGGCUAAACGGCGAGACGAAUCUAUUAAGCCUAAUUAGUCCAUGAUUUGACAAUGCGUUGCUACAGUAAACAUUUGCUAAUGAUGGAUUAAUUAGGCUUAAUAGGUUCAUCUCGCUGUUUAGCCUCCACUUAUGUAAUCGGUUUUGUAAAUAGCCUACGUUUAAUACUCCUAAUUAGUAUCUAAACAUUGAUGUGACACUUGCUUAAAAAUAAGCAAAAGAAACCAAACACCCCCCUAAUCUGUUGGGGGACUUUCUCCCUAUAUAUUAUCGAGAUAGGCAAUCACGUUCUAUUCUUUUACAUGGUAAUCAGAACAUCUUAUUCCACGGUACAUCUACCCGACCACUUGACCCAUGCGUCGCCCUCGAUCAGCCUCAUCUUUUGUUCGGAUUUGAGGCUAAAAGAGAUCGAUCUGCUGUUUCAUGUAAACCUAACGUUAGCCCAUAUGGCAACAGACUCCAACCAUAAUAUCUCUCGAGCUGUGCGAAUACGUGGCAUGUUAGAUUACAAAAUACGGUUAGCGUUCAAACUCACCUAUUAUCUAUAGUAGGUAAACAAAUCUAUGUUGGACUGGAAUCCGAACGGGGCCGUUCCUAUACUUGGGCCAACGUAUAAUCGUGAAAUGGUUAAACAGACUAUCUCGUAUUCCAUAAUUUGUUCACAGAACAAAAGAACUAUGUAGAAAAUUUGUCGAACAUAGAUUAGCUGACAACAAGUUUACUUAAUAUUUUUUCCCCAAAAUAUAGCUACAUUUAGAGUUCCAAAUUUGUUCCAAAAUAUAACUACUUCUGAGUUGCCAAGCCUGAUUGAAUGGGUCAAUGGAUGAAAAUAACCCAUUUCGCGCUCACAAUUUUGUUUAUUUAGCGUAGAGAUAUAUAUGCAAGGAAAGGAUCACUACCAUAAAGAUCAUGUGUGCAUGCAUGGACAGGUUUAAUGAAUGGUAUAUUAGACCUUUUAUCACCCUCCUUAAUUAAUAUGACUGAAAAUGGCUAGAUGUAGCUAAAAUUGUGGGACGGAGGGAGUAGUUUUAGUUAGCAAUUAGCAUCAUAGGUGGAAUGUGCAUCAAUUUUAAAUUUUAUUCAAGGAAAGCAUUUGUGCAGAGUUUACGGGCAGAUAGAUUCCACAAUAAGAAUUCUAUCCAAGUGAAUUAAAACUAGCCAUGAUGGCUAACUUAAUUUUAUAUGUUCAAAUAAAUAAUGUAUUCCCAAUAUAUAUGCUGUAAAUUUUAGAUGAAUGGAGCUUUAUUAAUAAUAAAAGUUCCCGCCUUUGCAACAAGCUGAUACGCGCAGCCAUUACAAAAGUUGAAGAAAAAGGAAAAUAGAAUGAAACUCAAAGCGCUCUAAACAUCACAGAAUUUCUAACUCAACCUAUCGUCCUCCUAUGAAAAGAAUGUGAUGAACAGGCUAUCUAAAGUAUCUCAAAUGUCACGAGUUAAAUAACAGCACUUAAAGAUGACAGUGACAAAGUGAUAUCAUGGGACCAAAUUGAUGAUCGGUCUUCCCAUGAGCAAAAUUUGACCCUCUUAUUUCCAUAUAAGCCCCAACAAAUUGGAGCACACCUCCUCCUGAACAAAACAACUAAACAGAUACCGAACAUCAGAGGAUAUCUAGCACAAUGUAAUAUCUGCAAAUAAUGCCUCUAGGGAGAGACAUGACAUCAUUGAUGUGCCAUGGCCCAAUUUGGUGUGUUCAAAACACAAAGUUUUCAGCUAGGAAUCCAACCAGCAGUACUUUGAAGAGACUUGAGCAUCCUAAACAAAUAUACUACGAGAGGUGAAACGGAAUCUUUUCAAGAAAUACAUAUAAUGAUUAUCCACGUUCAACAUUAAUGUCAUUGCAAAUGAAAUAGCUGAUUUGGCAUCACUGCAAAACUAAAAAACUGCUGCUUAAUAAGGAUGUAUGCAUCCCUGAUACCGUUCCCUAUUUUAAGCUUACUCUUGUGGCAAGAACCAUUCCAUGCUCCAAAUAGGCCGUACAACCCGCAUUCUGUCUAAGGCAACUUGACUGAUCGUGCCGUUCGUUAGGUCAUAGAAACCGUAGCUUGGCAUGGCAUCAUAGCAAUAUCCGAAGAAAUCAUGGCCCGAAACAUAAACACAGUUCUCUUGAAACCUCGGAUCAUCCCCGGUCAAUCUAACAGCCUUAGAGCAACCCCUGCCGACGAACAGAGCUUGGCCACUGUCCAAGUUGUUCACCUCCGUCCACCAACCCAUCUCCAAAUCCGCCUGAAAUAGCUUCAACACGAUCCCGUCGGUAGCCUUGGAAGAUGAGAAGCUCCAGUAAGGGCCACGAGAAGGGACCAUCCACUUCACCAUGAGCAGCUUCCCUGGGCAACAUACGACGAGCUAGGUAGCGCCGCCGCGUCAAGAGAAGCCCUCCCGGAUUUGCCAUCUCUGGAGGCUGUGCCACCACGAUCGCGUUCUCGACGACGACCUGAGACGCCUUCGGUAUGCCGGCGGCGCCGUCCCCGACCUCAUGAACGAAGAGCCCACCUUUAGCGUUGAGGGAGUAGAGCUUGCCACGGUACAAGGCAAUGUCCACAUACAAUCCCCUUCCAUGGCUAUCCGUUGGACAAGCCGACCAUGAAGGGGCGCCGGGCCGGUAAAACCCCCACCGAGCUGCCCGAGAGGAUCGCGGCUACGAGGUCAGGUGAGCACAUGAUGAUCUUGCGCAUGGGGAAUCUCCUGAUUUUUGUGCCAUCAUCAAGCCAAAGCGGUAUCUCUAUGGUGUUAAGAAUAUGUUUUUUGAGAGGUUAUUUAAGAAUAUAUGUUGAAUGAAAAAUAUGACGUCAUACCUAAUAACUCUCUGCAUCAGAGCGUUUAUUUUUCUUUCUAAAUUAAGAUGUGAGAGAAGGGCGCCGUCCCCUACAUAUGGAGGCCCUAUGCUGAAGUUAAUUUAGGCCCCAUAAUUUAUUUAAUACCUAGAACAUAAAAAUGGCUAUGUAGAUCAAUUCCCCAAUAUUCGUUAGAGUGCGCAGCAAUGCAACCCAGCUUUCUACUCCGAUCCCCAAUAUGGUACUCUGCAGUCACCACGGCCGCCGCUACUUUUUUCUUAACGAACAUAGCAGAAAAAUACAAGAUCACGAUCCUGGAAGACCACAAUCAGGAAAGAAAAAGAAAGAUUAAGAAAAAAAUAACUAAAUGUGACUAGCUGGAUUGGGACAUCAACACGACCACACCACUCUACUCAGGCUACAAGUCCAGCCGGUUGGAUUGGGACAUCAACACGGCGCACCACUCAACAGCAAUACCUAACCAGUUGGAUUGGGACAUCAACACACGCCACACAAAGUAUUGCGCCACUCAACUCGCAGUGGCCCGAUUGGAACAACAACUCGGCUGGAAGGAUGGAAACACCAUACGCUGAUGACCACAGACGAUCCGCUAAGAGGGAGAACCUAGCACCGAGCCGGUCGCCACAAUGCGUGGCUGAUUGCCGCUAAGCCAACAUGCAGUUGCAAACGCACUGCCGUACUCUAACCAGUCAACACUCCACCGAAACGUGCGAACCCCCGAACAUCAACACAAGCUAAGGUUGCGGGGGAAGAGGACGAGAGAGAAGAGAGAUGCACUCGUCCUCACGCAAAACCCCACCGUUUUGACAGCCAAGAGCGCCACAGAGCCGAUGGUGGGCUGCCGAGAAAAAGGCCGGAACAUGAUCUCCAAAGAAACGAUGCUAAAGCGCCGCCAUCGCCCGCCUGAGGACUCAAGCAUGGUUUUCACCCGGAGAAUCCCGUCAGGAAGAGGAGGGCACCUGGACAACACACCCAAGGGGGAAUAUUGCGUCCAUUGAACAUUGCCGGCCCCAGCACGAGGCCGAGCAAGACUUUCGCCUGGAAAGCCCUUCCUCCCACAGCCGCCGCAGCUCCAACGCCCCUAAGUUAAGGCAACACGGUCAGUCACCCACCUCACGCACGACAGCCGUAACAUCCAUGCUGAGCCACCAUCCAUGCGCUCAAGCACGCCCAUCACCAUGCCGGUGAGUCACCACUUGCGGCUGCUAGCCUCGUUUGCCGCUGCCUCCAGAUCCACCUGUGCUGGAAAAGGUGGCCCGGCAAUACCAGCAGCACCACCUUGGUGUCACCAGUGCGCCCCAAGCUACACCACCAUGGCGCCGCUGGAGAGCACCGUACUGACUGCCCCCGGGCGCACCACCAUGGUGCCGCCACCAGUCCGCCCAGGCAUCCGCACCUCCGACCCGCACUCCACCGCAACCUCGCCCAUGGCCACCGCGCGACCCGGCCGCUGGGCAUGACCCACGGUCUCCACACGCCUGCCGGCAGUGCUCCGCGCAGGUCUGGCUCCAGGAGCUAGUGCCGCACAUCGCCUCCAGGGGACCGGAUCCGCCGCUGCCACCGAGCUGUGGUAGCAGACCACAGCCUCGCCGCCGCCUUCCUGCACUCCUCCGCGCGCAUCUUACGUGAAUCAACGUGUGACCGAAUUUUAUUCAACGGAAAUGCAUGUACCUAUGCAAAGUUUGUGACUCAAUUCAGAUGAACAUGUGUUUCACCACAAGAAUUCUAACCCAGCAAAACUAUACUCAGCCAUGAUGGCUAACUUAAUUUUCCGUGAAGAAAAUGUCGUAUAUCACCAAACUAAUUAAAAGUAAUGAACAUACUGACUGAAUACUGUACCAGAGAGGAAAUGGAACAUUUUCAAGAAAUAUAAUUAUUAUCCACGUCAAACAUGCACUAAUAUCUUAACAAAUGAAAUGGCUGAUUUGGCAUCCUUGCCAAGCUGACAACUUCUGUUCAAUAAGGAUAUGAGUAUGAAGCUCUGAAUCACCUCCACGUUUUAACCCUACUCGAGUGGGAAGAACCAUUCCAUGCCACUGACGGGCCAUGCAGCAGCCCGCAUGCUGUCAUGGAGAACUUUAACAAUCUCGCCGUUCCUUAGAUCAUAGAAACCAUAGCUUGGCAUGGCAAGAUGGCAUUUACGGAAGAAGUUAUCGCAGCCCAAAGCGUAGACACGGUUCCCUUGGAACCUCUCAUCGUGACCGGUGAACCUAACAGCCUUGGAGCAACCCCUGCCGACGAAGAGAGCUUCACCGUCGUCCAAGCUGCUCACCUCCAACCACCGACCCUUCUCCAGAUCCGCCUCGAACACCUCCACUGUGAUCCCGUCGAAGUUCCUGGGAGAGGGACGGCGACAGCAAAGAGGAACCGUCGUCCAUUUCACCAUGAGCAGCUUGCCUGUGCACGACACGACGAGGUAGUGGCGCUUCUUGCUAAACUUCUCUUCAGGAUCCACCGGCUGGGGGCUCUGCGCCUUGAUCGCGUGCUCGACGGUGUCGGCAGCGGCGGCGCCGACCUCGUGAACGAAGAGCUCAUCCUCUGUGUUGAGAGCGAAGAUCUUUCCACGGUAGAAGGCAGAGUCCACGUAGUAGGAUCCCCGGGCACCGCGAUCGCCGCCGAUGUCAGACGGAGAGACAGACCAUGAGGGGGCACCGGGCCGGUAAAACGCAACAUAACUGCCUGAUAGAGCGGCGAUGAGAUCAGGUGAGAGCACCAUGAACUUAAGCAUGUAGAGCACGUUACUCUUUGCGAGAUAGCCGAGGUGAAGUGGCAUCUCCACGGUGGCGCCGGUGAGAGGAUUGGUCAGGAAGCACUUGUGGGAGUCGUCGUUGUCGCGGUCGUGGGGCCCGUACAGGAGCCAGCCGUCGAAGCAGCCGUGGCAGGUGACAUCUUUCGCCGGCACUGCGCCGGCGCGGCGCGCCUCGCCGGCGGGAAGGCUUAGGAAGGCGCCGUAGUUGCUUAGGGCCUUCAGGCAGAUGAAGGGCAGCGCCGGCGGCAGAUGGGGACGCUGCUGUUGCGCGGCGAGGCGCCACCGGCGACAGACGCAGCUGAAGCGGAGGCGGUCGAUGCGGCACAGCAGCAGGCGAAGGAUGAGGCCGGCGAGCUCCGGCAGGAGGUUUGACCAUGACGGCGGGGGUCGUAUCCUCCCCAGCCGAUCCAUUAUGCGAUCCGAGGAAGCCGGAAAGAGGCGACACGAUGGUUGUUAUCUUUUGCAAAUCGAUCUGUUAUUAGGUGCGAAUAAUCCGGGCCUAACUUGUUAAUGCAUACGUACUCCUCAACCCUGCUAAUUGACAAUCUUAUGUUACUAUUACUAAUUAGCCUCCGGUGAAGCUACUUAGGAUUCUAGUGGACACUUUAGAAUAAGAGAGAAAUUCUAGACAUUACAUCUUGUCAUUAAUCAGUAGGCUUAAAUCAUCAUAGCCAUUGAACCUAUUAUAUUUUCUAAAAUAUUACCCACUACACCAUUAUGAAAAUAACCUAAAAUAACCCCCUAAAUCCAUAUUUAAAUUACUUACCUCGACCAUUAUAUAAAUAAAUUAAAGUGACCUCCUAAUCUUUAUCAAAAUUACCCACUUCUGCUAUUAUAAAAAUAAUUUAAAAUAACUCCCUAAAUUUGUAACUAAAUUUUCCACCGCUAAUACUUCAAAAAAUAACUUAAAAUAACAUCUUAAAUUUGCAUCUAUAUUAUCAACAUAUGCUAUUAUUACAAAUAACAUGAGGUAACCCUAAAUUUGAAUCCAAAUCACCUUAAUUAAAAAUAUACACUAAAGUAUGAUUCUAAAUCGCCUAUUUGUUAUACUAUUGGUAUAUGAAAUAAUAAUUAAGGUAUAUGCGUUUAUUUAUAAAGAUACAGAGAAAGUGAUGAGAAUAUAGAUUUCUAUGUUAAAACUAUAGCUCAAACUUAAGAUCCGUUAAAUAAAUUCAAGCGCAUAUUUGCGAUGCAAAGUGAAAAGUUAACAAUUAUAAAUGUGGAUGCAAAGCAUAUAUUUGCUUCCCCUCAUCCUCACCUCUUACAUUUCCGUAUUUCAUUUUUGCAACUCGUGUGCCUUUACUUUCUUAGUGUAGUAUCUUACUAGGAUUGGCUCUAAGUUGCAAAACUUAUUUUGGGAUAAGGAUUUCACACUAGAUUAAUCGUAGAAUGAACAUCUAAGUUAAAAUAAUAUAGUUUAUGCUUUUGCAAAGUAGUGGAAGCUAUAUGUUAAAAUUUUAGAUUGCUUAAUUCACUCCCUCUUUCUCUUAAGCUACGAGUACCGGUUCCUUGGAAGCUUGUUGUUGUUCGUGAGAGCGUCGAUCUUGCCACGGUACAGAGCGAUGCCCAAGUACCACCCCCAGCCGCGAGCGUCAGACGGACUCACAGACAGACCGACCAUGACGGAGCACCCUCCCGAGGCCAAGCAUCGCGACGACGAGGUCCGGCGAGCACACGAUGAUCUUCUUCAUGGGGUGCGUCAAGCAACGCCUGGAUAGUCGUCACGGAGGAGGGGUACGUCUGCCACGGUGACUCCGGAGAGAGAGUUGAACAAGGAGCGGGUAGCCUCGCCCUCGGUCCUCGGAUACGUUGCAGUACAGGAGCCAGUCGUCGUAGCAGCAGCCAUGGCGGGUGGUGGCGCGCGGUGAGCCAGCCGCGGGCGGGGUUAUCAACCGGCGGGUGGGCGGCUCGUCGGUGGUGAGGCUCUAGAACGUGCCGUCGUCGCUGAAGCGGAGCAAGGGCGGCGGGGGCAGGCGCCACGCGUGGUAGACGGCCCGGUGUCCAAUUCCAUCCGAUCCAGCGGGAGCCAAGGCAGACAGCGGAGGAUGAGGCCGGUGAGGUCCGGCGGGAGGUCCGGCCAGCGCGAGGAGCCUGCCAUGACGCCACCUACAGCCGGGCAGACAUGAGCCAAUGGCGAACGUAUCUGUUUGGUGUGAACUUCGUAUGUAGAAUCCGGAGGUAAUCAAAUCAGCGUGCAUCAUGGUAAUCCGUUUCGUGCAUGCAUGCUGCUGGGCCCGGUGUCCAAUUCCAUCCGAUCCCAAUCUAAUUUUGGCAUCCCCCGGCGAACAAAAUGUAAUGGGCCGAAAUGGGUCUGCAACGGUCGGCCCACAGCCCACGAGAUUAACUGGUUUCUUUCCACUGAAAAUGACCGUGUUGCCCCCAUCCGAUCGAUGGCCUUAUUAACGCUGUUCUUGCCUUAUCUUUCACAACAAGGUUCACAUACGGUUCUUGUAGUUGUAGCCCUAGGCGGGCGUGCGUGCGUGCGUGCGUGUGUGUGAUGAUGAUGAUGCAUUGAUGCAAGUACGGAAGCAAUUUUGAAUGGUGCUUAUCUUUUCCUGUGAUUGGUCUAGGAGCGAUAUUGGCGAGAUUUCUCUCGGAUGAUGAUGCGAUCUAUGAAGAAAAAAGGUCUACAGUCUGUGCCUUUUUUAACUUUGUGCUUUUUACUCUUGUUUUCCUUUCCAAAUGAAUCCCAGGGAGUACAUAGUGUUAAUGUGUUGCAACUUGCAAAACAUAUACAGCGGUAUCUGGAUUGGUGCAUCAAAAGUUUCAACCGAGCCAGCAACAUGCAAUAAUUAUCUAUGCGCAUGCAAAAUUUAAGCUUGGAUAAAAAGAAACAUGUGCAAGGAGAAACUAGCACGCGUAUGGUUGUGCAACUCGACCCACUAUUGCUCAUACGCUGAUUUCUCUUUUGUUUCUCCUUACACAAAUUUUGAAGAGCUUCGCUACUCUAAAGUGUUUUCAUGGGCUGCAUUUUUUUUUAAAGUGAGCUGAUGUGAAUUUGUACAGCGGCAUGUGAAAUUGUUCUCAUUUCUUAAGUGCCAAAUGCAAAGUGCGAGCUCAUCUUUCCUACCUCUUCCUCCGGCACGUCCUCUUUUUUUCUCCCUUCUUUUCCUACUGUUGCGGCAGGAGCGGGGAGCUCGAGCCCCGCAACACACACCUCCACCCACAUCUAACAAUGCCUCUUGUUGUACUACAAAAUUAGAGGUGAUGAAUAUCGUAAUACAAGGUAUCCCAUCUUUAGGAAAUGGACUUAGUGGUUUAAGAAAGUUCUGGAAUAUCUCAUCAUGAACUGACACAUAACUCCUAUCAGCUAAAUUAAGGGCAAGAAAAUGAAAGGCCUACCCGGAGACACGGCAAAUGAACCUUAGUCCACUAUGCAAGCAAAGGUGAUGGGCCCUCUCGAGGUUUUAGACCGCCAACUAGUGAUUAUACACCACGCUCUCCUCACUUUCGAUGGCUAGCACACAAGAGAUAAAGGAGUUAUACUGGUUUUGGAAGAUCCCUACGUCCAAUUUCAGCAUGAGUCAUGUUCCUUGGAUCGAGUGCACAGGGCUUACAACCAGAUGCUUACAAGAAAGCAUUCAUGUGAUGUGUAAGAGUAUGCGUUGAAUGCAUGAUUGAGAGCAAGGAGGCCUGAUUUCCCUUAUAUAGACCAGGGACCGGGCAACAAACGUUGACAAAUGGAGGGGGUCCCCGACCUCGAAGGUUGGGGGUCGUGGCGUGGUCGGAGUAGUCUUGCACCAAGGGACCUCCUUGCCCUGUCCUCUUGACCAGUCGUGGGCUUCACACGCCCUGUACGACAGCUCUUGUGCAGCGUGGGCUGCUUACGCACGGCCUGACCUGCUUCUGCAGCAUGUCCCGUCCCGUCUGCCAACCCCGUGCUAGUGAACGGGACGGAAGAAGCUGCUGACGUCCGCACCGGAGAUGAGUGGGUGAGUCUCGAUCAGCGGCCUGAGCGAGGCAUGCCACUUCCCUCGGCUUUCCCCGACCUGCCCACGGCCAAUCCACGCCGUUACGACUGAUGCUAGGUCCCGCCUCGUCUGCGGGCUCGUACCGGGUCUGGCGUAGUGGCAUGACCUUGAGCAUGACGGGUUGUCCUGGCGGUGAGGAUAAUGAUGACUUCAGGGUGCAUACAGCCGCGCGUGGCAUUGUCAUGCAAAUCGUCCUGGGCAGUUCAAAGGGUGUAGCCUCACCCUCAAACCCCUUGGUUAAAGGUCGGCUCCCUCCGCCAGAUCAUGUCCCCGCACAGGGCGGUCAGAGAGGCCACGCCCUGCAUUUAAUGCCCCCGGUACGGUGUUGGUCUUCCUGAGUCAAGGAGUGGGCGGGGCGCUAUGGGCCUCUUGCGGGCCCCGCCCCCGAUCUGGCUGGAUUGGUGGCUGUGGCCCUCAGCUCCCGACCAGGGGAGGUCGGGAGGUGGGCCAUGGUGUUUCCUAGUCCACCCCCAACAUAAUUCUAGCUGUUGGGCCAUUAGGUCCCGACUAUAUAUACUCGGAGUAACUCAAUAUAGUAUCAGAUCUAAAGGACUCGAGUUCAAAUUCUAGCAGAUGCAAUUAAAUAAAAUAAUUGUAGCCGAUUCCAAUUUCCACAUAUGCUCCAAGGAAGCUGAACGUGAGGGGGGUAUAAGUUAAUCGCCUAGCUCUGUCUAUCAUUUUAAACCUUUGGGUUAAAUUGUUGGUAAAUGCAGGUAAUAGAUUAUACAUUGCAUGCAAAUUAUUAUAAUCCGCUACAACAUAAGAUGUAAGGUAUUCGGACUUGUAGUCUAAACAAUACGGCUAUAUAUAGAUCUUGAUCCUCUGGCCACGGAACACAGAUGCUACUCGAAUCACUCGGAUACGAGGCUAAUUGCAGGCCAACCUAUUGCUGGUUUCCAUGUCAUUGCGGUUCUGGAAGCGACCAAUUCUGAGCUCCUACUUGCUGGGUUUCUGGGUCUGGUCGGCUACCUGUUUCCUGGAGAAAGCUAGGCAACAGCAGGGUAUGGCCGCCUAACUCGCUAGUGCCUUUGACACCACAAGGAAGCUAAGGAAGACCCCGAUUCCUUUUGCGUCUACGUCGUGUAACUACAGCAGCAAGAAUCCCUGAAUUCCUGAUGGAACGUCUUGACAUCGUCCAGCGGACUCUCUCAAAAAAAACUUUGAAGCCAGCCAGUGUUGAGUUGAAGUUGAGAAGCCAGCAGAAAGAUUUUGCACGUAUAUGUGUUCAUGAUGCUUUUACCUGACCCUUGGAAAUCAAUGUCUACUGAUGGAAUCUGGUAUGAACGCGAGACCACAAGUGUAUGCACGCGUGUACUUGCACGAAUCGUAUCGUACGAGCUUAGAAAGAGAGCAGAAGAACACAGAAUGAUCCGAACUGGCGGUCUAACGAUGGUUACAGGACAGCAACCACGAUAGUUUAAGUUUCCAAUUCCUUGGCGAUGAUCGAGACUGGACUACUGGAGAGCGGUCAGAAUGCAUCGCCUGCCUAAUAAUCAGAUGGACCAUGGGGAUCAGUUCACACUUGAGACUUGAGAGUGUGGCGCAGGGCAGAGCGCGCGAGCGAGCGAGGUCAUUCACCAAACCGUGUGCAUUUUUCUCAGGAUCAUUCUCCACAUCUGGAACUGGUAAGAGAGUGGAUCUUUUGACUGGUUGACUCCAAUAAUCCAAGAUUGUGCUCGUCCGUACAGUCCGUGUGCAUAAUUUGGCCGUCACCUAGGUCUAUCGUCCGGUCGGCAGUCAGCACAUCUCGCCGCUAAUCCAUACAUGGUUUGAGUGACAGAUAAACUAAAAAUCAUGAAUUAAUUAAGUUUAAUAGUAUCUUUCACGAAUUAGUUUCCAUUUAUGCAAUUAGUUUUGUAAUUAACAUAUAUUUAAUACUUCUAAUUAGUAUCUAAACAUUUGAUGUGACAGUGAGUAAACUUUAAUCCUGGAACCAAACACCCCCUGUCAGCCCGUCAGCCGGAGCUCUCUCUGCUGGCAACUGAAAGCCUGAAACAAAAGAGAGUCAAAACCCUUCAUCUCAAAGGAAUCCAACACACGUCCCCUGAAGCCCUGACGGUGACGCCUCUGAAUUUCCUGCAGCUGUUUUUAUUUCAGGGCCACUCUGAGGAACGCAGGAUUCUCAUAACACAGAGAAGUAGGAAAAAAAACACGGGAUCCGGGAUGAACCUGCUUGAAUUCAAGACAGGGAAACGCAUGGCGCCUAGCAACCGUGCGACUACAGGCGACGUGCUUACGCGCGCUCAGCUCGUCGCCAAAAAAACCGCGUUAGUUUCUCCGUUCGUCCAGGAGCGGCGGAGACCUGUCAGUCUGGUGGUCGCUCCUCUCCUGUCGCUGCCUGUCGCACUGUCGCGGCGAUCGAUCCAUUCAUCACGCAGCAAGCUCUCUUACUGUUGACGACGUCUAACUCUCCAGUACCGGUUGUGCAACUCGUAUUAUUAGUUCGGUACUAAAUGGGGAUUUUAAGUACCGAGUCAAAUAACCUCAGUCUAUGAUGAUGGCUUAGGUAAGAGCAAGAAGACGAUGGAUUUAUAGGAGGAAAGUUAGUACUGGGUGAACCUCCACCCGAUACUAAUAUGCAAACUUUAGUACUGGUUGGAGCUCACAAUCGAUACAGGAGGUCACGGGUUCUGAAAAACUAACCAUUGAACCCGGUAUUAUUACUAGGAUUAAAAAUGGGGGCUCCCAUUAGUAUUAGGCCUAGUAACAAUGCUCGGUCUUCCGGUAGUCAUCGCAGACCGCGUCCCGGCUGGCGAGAGCGAGGAUAAACUUUGCCCCCGUCGCGUUCGCGUCAGGUAGCAGGCAGAGAGAGACUGACAGACGGGUAUAGUUAGUUAGCUAGACCUCGCACACUGGGGUCCUCCCUCCGAGCUUAUUAGUUAAUUAAUGGCUCGUUUCAUACCCGGAGCAAGCUAAAGCAACGAGCUGAGCUGACAGCGACGCCGAGGUAGAAGACGACGACGACGAGGAGCAGGAGCAGGUAGCCGCGCGACCGUCGUCAGUCCAGUCCUCUGUCCUCCACUAGGGCUCCCCUUUCUUCCUGACCCAACACGACAGGGCCGGCCACCAAGAAGAAGCCCGCAGUUACACUCGCUAGCAGUGUCGUCUACCAUCAGUAGCUUUGCAUCAGCUGCAGCAGUGAUCCGUUAUCAUUUCGUUGGCGUCGUCUGAAAACUUCAGCGCAUUUGCCGCUGCAUCUGCACGCAGCUGCUAAGUAAAAACUCCUCUCGAUCGCGCUCUGUCCAUGUCCAAUCAUUGUAGGCCGCAGCUAGCGCCAAGUGGAUCUCUGUGCGUCUUUGUUUGUUGUGGCCAGUGCUGCGUAGAUGCAGAGCAUUUGGGUGAUCGGGUCGUGUGACCAGAUCUUCUUCAGAAGAUUAUGUUCUGCUCUUCAGUGCGCUGAAAUUUCUGGGCAGGUAAUGGAAUUAUGCGCAUGAGGAUGCGUGGCGAGGAGCUGGAAGUGAAACGCAUCUGAUGCUUGCUUUGCUGCCAUGUUGCUGCUGGACUUGAAGGAGGGGGGCCGAUUAUUUGUGCGCAACCAGACAAGGACAACCAGUGUGUUUGCCAUUCCCGCGACCGCUUGUUCGUUUCGUCAGUAAACGUGUACCCGGCGUCCCGGCCUAUCCUAUUGGUAGCAGAACGAAGGGCUCCAAAGUAAAUGUUACUGUAGGAGUACGUCAGAGCUCGAAGCCAUGCAUGUGUAUUACACGGAGGACCGGCGGUUAAACUUAAAACCGCGCACUUGCGAGCACGUGAUAGCAGCGUGAUUCACUGACUCUCUGAAUACACGAGGAGUAUAAUAUACUGAUUCUUUUCAGUAUCAAAAGUACCUAAUUACUGGAUGUUGUUCUUUAUAAUUUUGUAAGUUAUUAAAUUUAAAAAAAUUGUUCCAGAUCCAAAGUUCAUUUAAGAUAUCACUCCAGGCCUAGAAUCACUUCACUAUAAAAUAUCAUUUAACAGAGCUUCUAGAAUCAGCCUAGCAACUGCUCUGCAAGCUCUGCUAAACAGAUCCUGCACGGCAUGAACCAAAAGAAAAGGUGGCUUCACACACUGGCGUCUCCUCCCUCCCAAGUACGAAUUAUCCUUAAAAUAACCAGCAUUGCUACUGAAAAGUCAUUUGCCAAUUAUUUUUUAAAAAAAAAGUAUUUUAUCUCCAUAAAAAAAAUCUUCACCACCAAAGAUAGAACCAUAGUCAUCUCGGCAUGAGUGACCAAGUAGCAUUAGCGUCCUAUCAAGUCAAUCAGUGUCUCCUGGGUUUAUCUGCCGCAACAAGUCUCACAUCUCAUUAUCUUAGAAAAUAGGCAGUUGCUAUUAUUAGUACAAGUUUGCAACUUCGGCAUCCACAUGAAGACAAGAGUGCGAGACCUUGAUCUGACUCUUUGAUCGUCACGACAUGCAUGAUGAUCUUGUUAAUUACUACGCUGUCGUUAGUUAAACAAUGCAUGCCCUGGCCUGGUUUGAGGUACUCCUAUCCUGUAUCAGACAGCGUGCACGGAUUGGUGAUGGAUCGACUCGGUUCGCCGGGCUCGUCGUCGUCGUCGUGUCCCAGAUGCCAUAUCUCGACCGGUUCGUGCAACUAGUACAGCAGCGCCCGCGUUACGGCUAAGUAAUUAAGUUUCCUUGACUCCGAGUCAACCCGGCCGGCCGGUCCCACACGUGGUCUCUUUCCUUUCCGGGCCAAGAUUAGACUUCUUUUCUAGCUCCUUUCCGUAACGAGCUGUGUGCUCAGUUAGCUUGUUUGGCUCGACGGAUACGACUAUCACAAACUCGAGUUCAACAAUGAAAUUUGGAAUGGUACCAUUAUAUGUGAUCAAGCUCAGCUUGCUAUGCAACAUAUACAAGUCCAUCCUUUGGCAAAAUUCAUGCCGAGUUCCAUUCGUUUCUAUUAAACUUCUUUUGUAUUAAUGGACCUUUGUUAACUAAGUUUGGUGAUUUUCCGGACAUCAACUUGGGUUACUGUUUUCGAUAUUCUCCGCAGGCUUAAUUCCUGAGAUUUUGUUUGGGUCACGGCAAUAUUAAUUCUCGAGAAACGCUAAAACACCAGCAGAUGGAUUCAGCUCCAAUCGUGCCCUAAUGUUGAUACCACCUCUGAUUUUAUAAGAACCGGAAUAUAACAAUAGUGUAUAAUUUUGUUCAUUAAUUCCACCAUUCCAAAUUAAAAUUCAAUUAGUUUUAAUUUGUCCUAAGUCAAAUUGAUAAAAAAAAUAUAUGAACAUAUAUAGUACCAAAUAAAUGCUCUAUGGAAAACAUAUUUCUUGAUGGAUUUAGUGAAAGUGAUAGGAUGUUGCAGAUACUAAGUGGUACAUUGUGGAUUUAGUGAAAGUGAUAGGAUGUUGCAGAUACUAACUGGUACAUUUUUCCUAUGAAAUUCGUCUAAGUUACAUAAGUUUGAUUUAGGAUAAAAUCAGAAUGAACUAUAAUUUAUAACAAAGGGAGUAGGGCUGAUAUAUUAGUCAGAAAUAUGUUUUUAAUAAAAUCACGUCAACAUCCAUGUCAGUUUCUAUUUUUAUGUUUACCAAAAUGAAUGCUUGUUAUUUUUCCGUUAUGGCUAAUUAAGUAGCCUUGACUCCGAGUCAACCCGGCCGGCCCACACGUCCCUUUCCUUUCCUUUUUUUUUUGCAUAAUCUGGGUUCAAGCAUGCCAUCACUGCUCAAAACGGAGCAAGCGCAAACCCAACGGGAUUACUCUAUGUCCUUCCCCAAAAUAAAAUGAUUUAUUUAUUUUCAUUUCUUUGGCGGUCGGCAGGGGUGGAAAAUAAGGUCAACACUCGUCAACAAGCUUGGCUUAGACUUUUUCCACAAACUGAACCAAGCCAAUAUUACACUUCUUUUCUACCUCCUUGUUCAUAACGAGUUGUGUGCUCGGUUAGCUUGUUUGGCUUCAUGUUGAGUGAUAUACUGUCUAGUAUACGUUCUUUUUUUCUUAAUGAAAUAUGUUUUUCAUAGAGCAUUUAUUUCACGGUGGAUUUAAUCCAGGUGAUUGGAUGUUGCAGAUAUUAGUGGUACAUUUUCCCUAUAAAAUUGGUCUAAGUUACAAAAGUUUGAUUUAGGAUAAAAUUAAAGUGAACUAUAAUUUAUAACGGAGGGAGUAUGGCGGAUAUAGUAGUCAGAAAUAUAUUUUUAAGAUCACGUCAACGUCCACGACAGUUUCUAUGUAUUAUUAUUUUUUACCGAAAUGAAUGGUUGUUAUGUUCUUCCUUUUGCGAUAAUCAUAAGAUCUUAUAGACAUGGAAUUCAUAAAGUAGAUUAUAAUCUAUUGGUCACAAUGAUAGGAUCAAGCAAGUGUGCUAGCAAACCAUGUUCGACUUUCAAUAAUAAUAGUGAAUAUGAUAUUGAUCUUGCUUUUGAAGAGAGGUAGUACAGGAGAUGAUAUUAUUGGCUCUCUAAAUUUAUGUUAGCAUUGAUGAAAGGGCCUAUCGUGGGCCAUGGCCUCUGAUUCUGUUUGUAUACUAAAACAGAGAGAGCAGUGAGCUUACCGCAUGGCGUACGCCGGAUGUACACGAGACAGUGACUGCCCUCUACUUCCAGCUGGCUGCGUGGCAAAGAGUCGUGGUCGUCCCCAGUUCUUGGUCAAGGUCAACGCUGGAACGUACGCGCCCAUGGCCGGGCAUGCAACUUCUUCAAAGUUUCUCCUCGUCAAUCUUCUCCCCGAAGCGUGAGGGAGGUAGUAGCCACCGGACUCCCUCCCUCUAUAAAUAGGACUGCUCGAGUUCUGAUUUGCGCGCUAUUGUUAUUAUUAUUAUUAUUUACACCAGAAAGAGAGAGCGAGAAUCAAAAGGAGCACGCAGUAGUAUAUACUCUUGAUUGAUCAGGAGCAAUUUGUUGGAGGAAAUAAGAUCGAUCGAGCUCAUGCUAUUGCAGAGAACAAUGGGAAGUGGAAGUAGUAGCGAUCCGCCGCUCCCGCCGGGGUACCGGUUCUACCCGACGGAGGAGGAGCUGCUGAGCUUCUACCUCCGCCACCGCCUCGCCGGCACCAGGCCACAAGUCGAGCACUUCAUCCCCGUCGUCGACAUCUACAGCUACCAUCCCUCCGAGCUCCAGGGUUAGUCGUCGUCCUAGUUCAUCGAUCUCCUUCUUUCGAUCGGAUGAUCACGAUGACUACAUAUAUAUAUGAUGCGCAAGAUUUCAUAUACUAUCGAUGCAUGCAGCGAUGGCCGGAGUCGCGAACGUGGGCGACAAGGAGCAGUGGUUCUUCUUCUGCCCGCGGGCGGAGCGGGAGCUGCACGGCGGCCGGCCGGCGCGCACCACGCCGUCGGGGUACUGGAAGGCCACGGGGUCGCCGUCCUACGUCUACUCGGCGCCGGCCAACCGCGUCAUCGGGGAGAAGCGCACCAUGGUCUUCUACGAGGGCCGUGCCCCCACGGGCAACAAGACCCGCUGGAAGAUGAACGAGUACAAGGCCGCCGCCGACGACUGCAUCGCCACCGCCUAUGGCGCGCCGCCGCCGCUGGCUGCAGGGGCGCCCGUCAGGGUACGUGCCGCAUGCGAUGUGGCUGUGCAUUAAUGACGAUGGUAAUUAAUUAUGUAUUGAUAAUUAUGGUCACUACUGAUCGGCGUGCAGCUGCGGAACGAGUUCAGCGUGUGCCGCGUGUACAUCAGCACCGGCACGCUGAGGUCCUUCGACCGCCGGCCGCUCAACCCGGCCGGCGGCGUCGAUCAAGCUCUCCACUGCUACCAACAGCAACAAGUACUGGCACCACCCGCCGCGGCGGCGGCGGCGGCGAGCCAGAUGCCUGCAGUCGGCGUUGUCGCCAACGGGCAGGCGGCGGAGAACUCCCACGACAGCACGUCAUCGGAGUCUCGAGGGGUCGUCGUGGACGGAGCUGAAGAAGACUCCGGCGCCACGGCCAUCGACUGGGAGUCGCUGGCUGAUCUCCGCUUUAGCGUCGUCGAUGACUUGAGCCGUGUCAUUAAUUGGCCCUCAAAUUGACACGCCUCGUGCUUAAGCUAGCCUCCUAGGCCAAAUUAAUCAGAUGAUUAAGAACUACUGAUUGGAUCAGUAACGUGAUUAACAAAGGUAGAGUGCGUGCUAAACCUAAAGGGAAGUAUUUGAGGUGUAAGUUCAUUAGGUCAGUGCUGUUGCUAUGCUAGCAGAUUAGCCUGCUGGACAAGGAAGUACUAGUUAUUAGCCAGUUUUGGUCCUAUGUUAAAAUCCACUUGGGAAUGAAUAAAGUUUAAAAUCCAGAACCAACCGUGGCUCAAAUCAGAAAACUUCGGAAUUUCAAAACAAAACAUGCUGCGUGCGUGCAUGCAUUUUAGCUCGUGAGUGAUGUUCAACAUUGUUGGGCUUUCUGGUAAAAUAUUUGGGCGACAACUUUUGGGCCUCCAGGACUCUAUGCAUUCAUUAAAAAAAACAAUUGGAGCCCAGUUUCAUGUCAUUUCUGCUGGGUUAUCAUGGUCCACACGGCCUGAACAAGGUGCAGUGCAGGAGGACAUCUUGCAGCGUUAUUUUGCGGUGUAAGUUGGGCCGAAAACAUUGAGGGGGGGUGCUUGGUUCCCUUGCGUCUUAUUCUCCUGCCACCUUAUCACUCAUUUAGCUAUAAAGUCAGUCCAGUUAUAUUUUAGCUUUCUUUUUUUUUUCUUUCUUUAGUGUUUUUCCAUUUGAUGGUGCAGUAUUGGUUUUUGUUUUUAUUAUUUUUGCUUUUGGCCAUGGAGCUUAUUUACUUUUAUGUUUACUCUAGGAGUUGAAUUCCAUGUGUAUAUUUUUUCCCGCGGACCCUAUGAUUUGUUCCGUAUAUAGUUUUGUUUCUCUUGAACAAUGUUUUAUUCUACGGUUCGGUUCCACAAAAAAGUUGCUCUGUACCAUCGAAGCCAAAACCAAAACCAUUUUGUAUGGAGGCCAAAGCCCUACAAAACAUAACCUAUGAAAAGUUGCUAAGCUCUAACUAAUAAUAAUAUAAUAAGUUAGCUUUCUAUUAUCUCCUACGUUAGAUAAAGAUGACUAUUUUAAGUUUACAGAUAAUAAAAAUUUAAAACAAACGAUUCAACUAGACUAUAAUCCUGGUAUAAAAUUGUUCCCUUUUUAUUUAAAUCUGUUGGUAUUCAGAUUGUUCCUAUUUUUUUAUUAAAUCUACCUUAUUAUAAUCUUUAGCCCAUUAUUCAAAUAAGCCAUGAGCACCAUCGCAUCAUCCUUUUCUUUCCUCCUCCUUAGUUCUCCCCUCCAACAACACAUUCACUAUAUACGUGCAGCUGGCUUAAAAAAAGGAGGGUCAAGGCCCAAAUCAAUUCGACGUAUGACAUCGAUUUUAGCUCACGAGAAAGUAGCCAUGGUAGACAACAUAUGACAUUUCCUCUUAAGUAGAGGCAAAAUUCAGUUACGACCAAAAGGGUCCAUAUGCCCCCUUGUCCUUCAAAUUUGCAAACCCUUGGAGAAUAUAGUAUAGAGAAGAAACUACCGAGCGAAGUCUCUCUCGUUAGGAUAAGAAUCACUUUCCAUGUUUAAUCUACACCAAAAACGCAUUGUUCUUUUCCAACCAUGAUAGAACAUUCCACUAAUCCCAUCCCCAUCUCUCUACCCAAAUUUUUGCCCAUAUCAAGAUCACAGCAUAUUUUCUUUCUGGCUCACCACGCUUAGCCUAGAAUAAAGUAGUUGGCUGAUAAAAAAAACCAGAAAACUUAUCCUACAACAUUCAUGAGUUGACUCCUAGAGCUGCAAAUAUGGUGUUGCUGCUACUUUUCAAAAUGAACUCAAGCCCACUCAAGCCCCUAAAGGUUGUAUAGCUGGAUGCAGUAAUUAUAUAGUUCAUUUGUAUCCUUGAUCACAAUUUGCGGGAAGUGGAUCUAAAGGGGGACUGGAAGGGCUCUAGCCCCACUACUGCCAAGAACUCCAUUGGAACCAAGGGAAGAGGAGGAGGAGGAGAGAGGAGAAAGAAGAAAAGGAGGAAGAGGAGGUGCAGAUGGAGGAGGAGGAAGAAGCAACCUCCAGGUAAUUUGGGUGCAAUUAUUUUUAAAUGUAAAUGUCUACAGGGCCGGGGCAGCUCUUAUUUGGAGGGGGGUGUUGUCUUUUCUAAGGUAGAUCUCAAAAAGGGCAUGGCUAAUUUAUAGCCCGCUAUAAGGUCUGUUCGGGAAUGCUCCGUUCCAGAAAAAUAGCUCCACUCCACCAACUCCACCUUCCUUCACCUCCACUCCACCAAAUCCACGAAAACAUGGAGCCGUUGCGCCUGCUUGGCAAAUGAGCAGACUCCAGCUCUAGGAACAUAAUAUUUUUAUGUGCAUUGUCUAUUGUACCCCUGUAUUGUGCGAUCCACACAUCAGUGUACAUUGAAGACUGGAUUGCGUGGAUUUGCCAGUGUGCCACUCCCCCAAGUCCAAACUCGCAUGUUGAAAAUGGACUCUCUAGGGAGCUGGAUCUGAUUAGGAAUCCCUUUAUGGCUUCAUAUUGUCCUUGGUAUAGUCGUAGCAUCUGCUUGUCUGGCAGUAGUAUUUUGCUGUUGGUUCUGCUGCUGCCGCAGCCGGCGCGGGGAGGUCGAGGGGCACGUGGCGACGAGGAGCAAGAUGGGCUGGCGCGGGACUGAGGACCGCGCGGCGGCCAUUGGCAGGACGAGCAAUCGCGGGGUGGCAGAUAACAACCUUGAGUUCCUCGGCUCCACAGAGGGCGCGGCGACCGCCGCGGCAAUAAGGGUCGAGAUGGGGUCUGCGUCAUCACCGUCGGCUUCUGUGUCUAGUGCAACGCCCGCAACCCGCGCGGCGAAGAAGGCCGAGGUGGCAUCGCCAUCGUCGCCGUCGGCUUCUGUACACCGGACUCCACGGCACAGCACCCCCGCGAGGGAGCAGCGAGCGGCGGCCCCCGCGUGGAGCGGUGAGGGCGCCCGGGGCAACCCCGCCACGACGUCUGGUGGCGAGGCGACCCCCGCUAGGGAGCAGCGAGCGGUGGCCCUCAGCGACGGAGGCGUAGCUGCCGCGUCUCCUGGCGUGGCUCCCUACCUCUGAAUACUAAUGGCAGCGGCGACCCCUGAUGCAACGGGACUUGGCUGGCGGCAGCGGUUAGGGCGGCGACGGGUGGGACGACGGCGCGCGACAGAGGACGACAUGUCGGGCGACGGUGACCCGACCACGGAUGGCAGGGCGGUGCGGCCAUGGUGAACAGGAAAGAAAGGAAGGGGGCGACCGGAGGAAGGGAGUGACUAUUUUGUUCUACAAACCAGUAUAUUGUGUAAUCGGUAGCAUGGUGGGUAAUUAACCCCCAAUUCCAAGAGAAGCUUUGAAACUGAAGUUUUCGGAGCACCCCUUGAGGUGCUACAGAAAAAUCUUAGCGUUGGCCCCUAGAUCCACCUUUUUUCUGGAACUGGUGCUAAUGGAGCUAGAGAUUUUUAGCAACAAGAAUCUAGAGUGGAGAUGCAAAACUUGGAACGGAGCAGUACCAGACACGCCCUAAAUUAGAUCAUCGCAUAGCCACCCUUUUUUGGAACCGGAAGCACCAUCCGUCCACUUUUACUACUCUGACACUGAUAAAAACCUUUGUUGUUGUUGCCUUUUUGGACAGGCAGAGACAACCAGGCCGUUCGGCAGCUGCUUGGCUGGCUGCGCUGUUGGCUGCUGAUUCUGGCUACUGGCUGCUGCUUAUAGCUGUUGGCUGUAGCUACUGCUUUGCAGCUGCCUGCAUCUAGCUGCACUGCAUCUACACACAUAGAUAUAGAACAUUACAGUGAGGCAACAACGAGGCAUCCAGUGCCAUUGCUAGGGUUUGUUUGCUCGAAUUCCACUACCUGGCUACCUAAAUGUCAAAAUUUGCUAUCACUACCUGCAUGUACCCAUUUUGGCAUAGCCAUCAGUCAUUACCAACAUCUAUGCAAACUUGUAUAGAACCAAAAUCCAAAACCAGUCAUACCGGUUAACUACGUCAACGAGAUUCCUACCGCGAUCCAAUCUCGUACACUUGCCACCCAUGCAGACACAACGUAAUCCGAAGUUCAUGCCAUGUUCCUAUCUGCAGUACUUGCAUCGGCACGGUGCAACAAAUAAUUGUGGAGUGCAAAGCAAGUAAUAAUGAUCUUUAUUUGCCUCUCUCGAUCAUAGAAUGGUACUUCUCGGAAAAUAUGCCACCUCGAUUUGAGCACGCCAAAUGCUCGUUCCACAAUAUUGCGAAGACUCGAAUGGUGGAAGUUGAAUUUCUCCUCCAAACUUUCAGCCGCUCUGCGGCAGAACUCCUCUAGAUGGUACCUCGUACUGUGAUAUGGCCCCAGAUAGCCUUCAUGAACUGUGUAACCCGAGUCCACCAGAUAGUACCUUCCUACACAACAUCAAAUAUACUUACCAUUAGUGCAACACUUUUACAAUUGUUUCUUCAAGAGCGUAAUUAGCCAACUAACAUACCUGGAGAUGGAUGUGGGUAAUUUGGUGUCUCCAUACAGUCCCUCAACACCGCCAUGUCAUGACUGGACCCCGCCCUCCCCGCUCCUACAUAUGUGAACCGCAUGUCCAUAUCCACUAUAGCUAACACAUUAAAGCUUGACCACCCUUUCCUAUUAAUAAAGUCCAGACGUGACUCACGCCCGAUUUGUACGGGAACGUGAGUUCCAUCUAAAGCACCUAAGCACCCAUCAAAGAACGGUGCAUAUGGGUUGAGCCUAUAAUUAACCAUUGAGUAUGACGGGUCCUUUAGAGCGAUAACCGUCUGUGCGAAUGAGAACAUGACAUCUGCCACAUGAGCCAUAUUCCUACUAACUGUGUCCAAUGACCGCUAAAAUCUAUCUCUAAUCUGUCUAGAAGCCUGUUGUGUCCCACAAGCCCAGACGGACAUAGCUAAAGCCUCGAUAGAUUCGACCCCUUGUGUUGAUUCCAGCCCAUGAUAAUUAACUAAGAUAUCAUGCAACUGAAGGAAUACGUCAGGAUACAUACGAAAAGUGUUGUAGCACCUCCAGCUUUCCCGCAUAUUUAGCUCAACCCAUUGACGUCUGGUCAUUUGUGGCAACUUCAUGGGUGGGUUCACCACAGAAGCUGGACUUUUGCUCGCAGCUGCAUAUGCUGCUAUAGCUACUGCUACCCCCGCCAGCUGGUAUACGAUGGAGCUAACAUCACUACCAGUGUUCACUGUUUGAUUCCUCAACGCUGCUCAUAAUGGAAGCAACCUGUGCACAGAAUAGAUAUUAAUGGUUCAGUCAUAAGUCUAUAAAGUAAAAGUUCCACCACAAGUUAUAGAACAAACUCUUUCAAACCUGUCAAUAUGGCUUCCCUGUCCUCCUCCUUGGAUGGCUGAAUAGGUCCUCAAUGGUCCUCCACACCUUCCUGGUACAAUGAAAAGUAAGAUAAAACUUCUUUCUCACUAAUGCACAUGCAAUGUAAAUCACGGACCACAUUUAACUUGGAAAAUUAGACAUCACACACAAUACAUUGUUCAAGCUAGAGGCCACAUUACAUGCUAAGAUAUUGUUCCCUACCAUCAGUAUACAACACUACAAUAAAACCAACGGAUGCCACACUGAACUACUUGUUCUCCCUCUCCCAGUUGAAUUGGAUCCAAUGCAGGCGGCCCUCUCUGGUUUUCAUCUUCGUGAAGGCCCUUCGAUUCACUGCAUUCUUGCAUAAAUAUAUUGCCAUGCAGUACAGAUCAGACCCCUCGUCAAUACCAUCUUCUUCUAAAAUCCGCAUUGCAAGGUCCAUCUCCUCUUGCUCACAGCUGAGACGUUUCUAGCUUCUCGUAGCUACAGUUUCGGAGAGUUCUCUGACGUAGUCCCCCAAGCUGCCACUCUUCUUUUUUGGAGGAUUGUCGACAACUUCCUCCUGGGUUGGCCUUUUAGACAUAUUACGAGCAUUGCUAGUAGCCAUGGGGUCUAGGUACAUGUCUACUGGAGUGUCCUUGGUCCCCAUACUGGGUGUUGCCUCACGGACACCUCCUGCAGUUAGCAAGGUCCCCCUGUCUUGGGUGGUGUGGCCGAAUAGCGUGUAAAGUUCGUUAAGGAGUGGUGGUGGUUUAGUAGUACUCGUCUGGGCAGCACCAGCACUAGUUUCCUGUAGGUCACGCAACUACAUGUUAGAAAAAAAUUGAUGCUAGAAUUGAAUGAACAAGAAGUACUGCAAAGGUGACAGCACGUACCCCUUCGUCGGUAGCUCAAAAAGUGGAAUCAGAUGCAACACCACCAGUAUGUUUGUCACGGUCUAGGCCUGAUUGGACUUGCAGGUCCCUCCAAUUCAUGAAUGACCUUUGCAUGGUGCUCAGCUUGUUCUGCAGCUGCUUGCUGCCUAAAGUCAAACCAGUCUGUUGUUUGAAAUUACGGUAGACGUGUUGCCAUCCUAACUUAGUUAGGCACUUGUUGCUUCAAUUCAGUUGGUUCUUCUCAACAAUGCAGAGGUCGAGGAAUGUUUUCGCUGUCUUCUCAUCCCAAUUGGCACUGCUACUAGCCAUCUGAGCCCAGUUGUACAAUGCAUAGUUUGAGUAGGUAGGAACUGCAAUUUUAUUUUAACAAAGAAGAAAAUGCAGGAAACAUAAAAGUAGACAAACUCAGUACGUAAUGAACAUGUCACUUGCCUCAGCAGUUGUCUUGGCGCAUUUGUAACAGAGAUUGUAUAGACAGGCUGGUGGGGGAGAGCAUGAAGAAGUGGAUGACGAUGCCAGUGUGGGUAUCGUUGCAAAGGACAAGAGUGUACUGGAAGUAGGCUUGUUGUAGAGGACUGCAUAUGUGCAAAAGAAAAUAUUGUUAGAUUAAUGCUUCAAAUUUGCACUCAACAUUGUACCGGAAUUUAGUUAAAGCACUUGAGGACAAUCCAAUUCAGAGAAGCAAUAAACUUGCAUAAACCUUUAUGCAAGCUAGAAAUAUAAUCUAUAGAUAAAAGGGACCAGAAUUUGACAGGCAGGCAUACUAAUCAUGGCUAUAUGCAAAUCUCGUAGAGACAUACACUAAUGAGUAAUUAACAGGCAUACUGACUGGCAUCAUUGAGAUAAUAAGUUAAUUCAGGAAUGUAAUCCUAUAUUUUGAAUUGUUACAAAGGAAACACAAUAUGAUAAAUUUAUGAACUGGUAAGUUAAUAAUUGUGUUCAUGGGGGCUACAAAUUUCUCUCAGUAUAAGUAAAAUAAAAAGUGAUAUAUGAAUAUGAGGAAAACUUGCCUAAAGUACCAGAAUGUAUUUACUAAUCCAAUAAAAGCAACCACAUGCAUAUCCAAUUUCAUUCAUUUGAAUGAGAUGGCAGAAGGUCAGGAUGUUGUACGUACAUCAAACAAAGACCUCAAUAGGGAAGGGAAAUCAAAACAUUUGAUCUUUUGUUAUGAGCAAACACAUGAGCUCAAAUAGUAAACCAAAUGACUAAUCAGAUGAAAAAGAAAAAUACAUGCAAUUUAAGCAAAUUUACUUAAUUCAAUAUUAUUUUUUUGCUAUUAGGUUGAAAAGACAAUGUUAGGUUGUCUCAGCAUCAUGUAUGCUAUUAUCUCCAUCAACAUCUUGCAGAAGAAUGAUAGCUGCAAUGACAACACAUUAUGUUUUUAUCUUUGCAGGAUCCAGUAUUACUAUUUUGGAUCUCAUGAACAAGAAGAAAUCAUAAACUUACAGUGACACAAGUGAAGGUUGGCCUAAACCAGGUGGUAAGCUUCCUGUCAGUGAAUUAUAGCUCAAGUUUCUGACCAAGCAGAAGAUAUAACAUUAGCUACCAAGGUUGGAUCACAUACUGUUAACUGUAGAAAUAACCGAAAAAGGCAUUUACAUAAGCAACAAGAAAGAAUUCUUAGGAAAGGUACAAGCACACAUAAAAAACUUGACAAUGGCAAAUAAUAUAAACUUCUUAAUUCAGACAACGAUUGGUCUAAAACAUAACUAACAUUAAGCAGGUGCGGACAAGCAAGAAGGUAAUUAAGAUGAAUUCUCUCAAAACAACUUAUAUUUGACAUCCUUUAGUAUUUGUGGUCAUCAUUUGUACAGAUGAAUAUAUAUCAUUCCAAAGCGAAGAAUGUAAAAAAAAAACAUGUGUAUAUAUGAUUUCAAAACCAUUUCGACCAUUCAUAGAGCAAUUAAUAGUACUAGUAGGUGCAGUUUACCCAAACAGAGAAAAUUAACAAGUCAAUCAAUUCAUUCUCAGAUUUUAUUUGAAUGAGCUUUAUCAAUUUAUAUGUGAUUCAUCAAGUGAGAGGGACAAGGAUCUGAGUCCGAUGGAAACUUUUAGAGGUGGAGAGAAAAUAUAAACCUACACCCAUAUGUAUCAAUAGUAAUCAAUAACAGGAUAAUAUACACUUCUAAGGUAUUCAAUUUUGUACCCAAGGCCUACCGCCACACAUUCACCUGCCUCAACAAUGAGCAGGCUUUAGAUCCAAUAACAUCACUCUAAAUAUUUCCUUUUGCUAUUGCUGUCCAGCUUCAGUCAUCUUGAGGAAGAAGCAUAUGGCGGUAAACAAGGAUUACCUGGAUCUGAAUGGGGGGCUUCCUCGGGCUAUGGCGACACUAGGGCCACGAUGUGGCGGAUGGGAGAUCUGCUGCUGGACUUCUUGCUCGAGUUGUCAGGCGAGGGGGUGCCGCGGUGGAGACGGCCGCCGUCGCAAGCCCGAAUCCCGGCUGGCGUGCUGGACGGCGAGCUGGAUCCCUAGCGGCCGGCUUGACCCCGGGUGUCUUGACGCUGCGGGUAGAUGACCUUCCUACGCGGUGGGGGUGAAUGGUACGGCACAGGCGACGAAAAGCUCACCUCGUGUUAGACCUGCUUCGUGGAUGCCGCAUCGAGGACAAAUGGAAGCCGUCGUCGGAGAGGGAGACGCUGGGUACAACGCAACGCAGAGGGAGCGAGAGGGAAGUGGAUAGAGAUGCGAUGCGGGGAAGAAAAUGAGAGAGGAAGAGGAAAGGAGGCCAAGCGUCGGUGCUGCAGCCGAACGGCUGCGUGUGGGCUGCCAAACUGCCAAACGACUGCGCUUAUCAGCCUAGCUCGAAACAGCCUAGCCAGCCAGAUUCAGCCUAGCCGAACGCGGCAGAGCAACUCCACCAGUAAGAUUCAAAAAAAAACAAAGAAAAGAUUGCCAGGUUAAAAAAUCCGUGUCUUUACAACCGAGCAUCAAAACCAAAAUCUGAUUGCACCAUCGUGUUGGUCUCAGCAAAAGCUUCAAGAUCUCGCUUCAAUAUGUUUUGAUCCUAUUUUUCUCAUACAGUACCAAGCAGUUUUGUUAAAAGCUAAACGCAUACUACAAUAAACUUAGAAGCAAUUUAGAACAAAUGUAUAGGCAAAUUAACAUCAUUUAAAGCCACAUAGUUUCUUCACUGAAAGGGGAACAACCGAGAUGAAGUCCCUGCAAAUGUAGCACUUUCACUUCACAGUUCACUUCACAUACAGAAAUGAACGCAUCCACAAAAUUACAAUUCAUGUAAUUGGCAUCUGAAACCUGGACUACUAAGUUGCUUAUUGGGAACCAUAUUUUUGCUUGUCUCGAAUAACAUGUUUGCCUAAUCAGGUCCAUUUUAUUGCCUAAAUCAGGAGGACAGGAACCAGGGAGCAAAAACUCAGACAAAUGCUAGUAUCACAACCACUCGAGAGAGAGCCAGUGAGCGUGCCCCUGGUGCAGGACGGCACCACGACCCUUGCGAGCCCUUCCUCGCGGCCGUGGGUCCCUCGCCGGGGUUCGCCGCCGUGCGCCCUGGAGGCCUCCGCGGGGGGCGCCGCUGCGCAGGCCUUCGCCGGGGGCCGUCCUCACGUUCCCUCGCCGGGAGGCCGCCGCGGGGGCAGCGCCGCAGGCUCUCGCCGGGGGCCACCGCCGCGUUCCGUCGCCGGGGGGGGCUGCCGUCGCGCACGCCCUGGAGGCCGCCGCCGCAGGCCCUCACCGGGGGCCGCCGCGCGCGCGCGCCACUCCCUCACCACCAUUUGGUGAAGAUACUGGAGGUAGAGAGAGAGAGGGGUGAAGAAGAUAAGAGUGCCUCUGUUGGGAAGAAGGAAUGGCGGAGAGAAUAUCAGCACAUUGUGGGGCCCGCGCACAUGGAAAACCUGUUUGCGCAAUGAAUGAGUCAGCGCAGAUUGACGAGUCCGUGCAGGUGGACGAAAUUACAGCCGGCUGGAAAGCAGUCAUUACCCUCCAAAAAUCUAGGAAAAAUACACGAUAAUCCAAAGAGUUUGGAUUGGGAUGUGAUUUUUUUUACCCAGAUUAUAUGAUCUACGGUAGAUCCAAUGGCACUUAACAUUAACCACGGCGAAUAUCUAAUAAUCCGGCUUUUUCUCCAAACAAAUUACCCGCAAGCUCCACUUUUUAGCAAGGCGAAAUCUCCUCUUAUAUACGUGUCCCAAAAACAAGUUACUCAAAAUAUUUAAUCACACAUAAUAACUUGUUUUUUUUUGACACGGAGGAAGUACUGCACAUAAUAACUUGUUUUUUUUUUACGCGGAGGAAGUACUGCACAACUUUCGUCUUGUUGGGUAUACGCACUGCACAACUGAAUGAAUCUGAAUGCCUCAAAUUCGAAAAUGAGAAGAGUGUUUGCUUACCAGGAAUGAAGCUAAACUUGUGCUGACCAAUCCCCUUGUUUCUGUCUCGCUCCUGUGUGAAAAAAAUCAUGCCUUUCUACGGGUAGUGAGAAAUAAGAACGAAAUCUGAGGCUCAUGCAUAUCCUUGAAAGGAGACGUUGUAUUGCCUUAAUCUUGCUCGCUGGUGGUAUAAAAAUCCUACAGAAAGAAUCGUUACAUUAUACAUGACCUCCGAUGCUACAUCAUCGAGAAAUACUAAUACUACUAGCUUAGUAGUUGUUUCUUCUCCAGUUACAUAUUGCAGCAAAGAAUACUACGAAAAACAGAAAACAUUUCCUCUCCUCCAAUUGCCUUGAGGCUUCAGAAACAUGACCAAAUGCGUAUGCAUGCAAACCUUCCUGCAUCCUGCCUACCUAAACCAAAAGAAACACGAAAGCAAUCGAUCCAAAGAAGAGAUCAGAUCGAUCCAAUGGAGUCACCGUCGCCGCCGUAUCACCAAUGCUAUGCCGUAGUGCAAGAGCCCCCUGUCAUUAGUGUGUCAAUGCCUGCCGCCGUGCCGCGCGCCUACUACCACUGCUCGGCCCCGGGGCGGCCGGCGGCGUGCAUGUGCUUGAGCUUGGUCAGCUCUUUCCUCCGCUUCCUCGCCUCCGCCGCCGUCGCCGCCUUGUCCCUGUCGCUCGGCCCCGCGCCGCCCCGGGCGUCGAUGCUGACCGGCGCGCUCCGCUUGUCGGCGGCGAUGUCGAGGCCAAGCGUGAGCGAGCAGGGGUCGUCGUCGGUGUCCUCCUCGGCCGUCGCGCCGCCGGCCGGGCUCCCGCCCCCGCUCCCCGCGGGCUCCGGCUGGAACGCCGCCUGCUGCUGCUGCUGCUGCGUCCCCGCGUACGCGGCCGACGGCGACCCGCGUGGGUCCGCCACGACGGGGUAGUACCACGCGCAGGGCGGCAGGCAGAGCGCCGGCGGUGGGCUGCCGUGAUGGUGGUGGUGCUCGUACCCGGCGCCGGGCGGCCACGAGCCCCAGACGUAGGGCACCGGCGGCGCCGCGGUGUACAGAAACCCCGGCUGCGGCGGCGUGGCCGGCGGCGACGCCGCCGCAGCCGCCAUGGGUUCCGCCGCUUGCUGCUGCACCGCCGCCACGUGCAUGGGCACCGCCGCGGUCACCGCCGUCGUCACCGGGGCUUUCUUGGUCGUCCUCGCCACCUGCAGAGAAUUGGAAGUGACGAAUCGAUCAGGACCUGCGGCGCCUCUUCGGCUCUGAAACAGCUAAUUCCGACGUGGUGUGACAGCAAGACCGAUGAUAACUCCGGCGACAAAAAGACGAGCUGUGCCGACGUGGUGCGGUGACCAGGUGACGCGCGACGCUGCAAACGACACCGAGGACACGGCUGCGUGCAGCAACUUUUCUCCCCAGGGAAGGCCAGUCUGCUGAACCGACUAGAAGGGAGAACACCUGAGCUGACUACCCUACGCGGACGCACCCCAUGCGGCCAGCGUCGGCAUUGCACCGAGCUAGCUACCGAGCUGGGUGUGCCGACCAAAAGGCCAGGGAAAGGAAAAGGAAAAGAAGGAAGAGAUUGUUCGUUCUAUCAUUAUCCGAUAUAAGAUGUCUCUGUCAGCGUGACAUGCGUACAACAGCAAGAAGCACUUUGACAACGAACACAAAUCGAGCACCACAACCACAACUAGCAUGCUCCUCCGUAGCAGCUAGGUGUACGGCAUCGACCUUGUAGUGGCCAGAAAAGCUUUGGGUGUCAUGUGGCCUCCGUCGAGGGGCACAACUGGAGGCUUGGAACGUACUAGAUUCCUGUCUGCCUAACAAUGGCAACAUCAUGCUUUGGAUAAUACAGUUGUUUAAUCGUCGAUCAUGCAGCGGACGACGUAAUCUGUCUAGUCAAGCAAGUACAGGAUUAAAGCGAAAGCGAAAGCGAUGGUGGUGAUGGUGGUGUGCCUGUUCUUUGAGCUGCUUGUUGGCCUCCUUGAGCGAGAGGUACUCCUGCAUCACCAUGUCCUUCUCCUGCACACCAACAGGUCAGGUCAGGGUCAUAGGAAUAAGACAAGAAACUUUCACGACCGUCAGUUGGAUGGUGAUCAUCAGCAGGUUGUACAACAAUCAAUCACACUACUGUCGCAAGUAACGGAAUCUGAAGAUCGGUCGCACCUUCUUCAUGUUCUCGUUCUGGGAGGAGAGGUCGACGACCUUCCUGGCGAGCUCGUCGCGGAUGGCCUGGCGCCGGAGGAUGGUCUGGCGGGCGGACUCCCGGUUGGCCAGCACGCGUCGCAGCCGCUUCGCCUCCUUCUCGGCCUACACACAUAUGAACGGCGCGCUGGUGAAAGGGAGAGAUCACCGGAAUUGCGAGCGCGCGGCGCGAGUAGGGUACCUCGGUGAGCGUGUGCCGGGGCCGGGGGCCGUACCCCGUCGCCGCCGCCUCGGGCACGGGGUGCGGCUGAUGCUGUGCCGAAGGCUGGGGGUGCGGGUGGCCGGCGCUGGAGCUGCUGGAGCAGGGGGACGCGGACUGGAUGCCGACCUUGCCGAGCUCAAGGCUCAGCCGCGUGCUCGCCAAAUCGUCCUCUCCCUCCGCUGUCGGCGGCGCCGCGGCGGCAGCCUGGAAAGCAGUAACCGUCAAGAAUUGAAUCAUGUAGCGACGGCAAGUGGGUGAGAGGCCAGGGACGAGAUCGAAUUCGACUCUGAGGGGAUGGGCUUCACCUGAUGAGAAGAGCGCGGGUGGUUGCCGCCGCCAGGGGUGGCAGCCGGCCCGACCCCGGCCAUGUCGGCGAGCGCCAUGGCGGCGUCGAGCUCGACGUCGACGGUGACGCCGCGGCGGCAUUGCCUCUGCCCGUCGCUGUCGUCAGACAUGGCGGCAGGGGGGAGGGAGGGAUGGGAGUCAACAGUGGCCUCCUCGCAUCGAUUAGAUGGAUCGCCGAGCAAGAGGAGGGGAGAGGGAGGUUUUUGUAAGAGCGGCGGGGUGGGGGAUGGGGGCAGCCGAGCCGAGCUUGCGCUUAAUCGCUUGGGUUCGACGGUGACAAGCCAAAGCGAGUACGGCCGGGCUGGGGGCCCCCGAAUAAAUAUCUCCUCCGAUCCCUCCCGGCUCCCAGAGGCGGCGCGGCGGGGUGUGGGGGAGCAGCCGAGCAGGACAGGUGGUCUUGUGCCCGCGCCGCGACCUCGCCCGGGAGCGUCCGAUGGGGCGGGCACGAGCCAAUCUCGCCCGUCCGCGAUCGCCACGUGGCGAGGCGGCAGCAGCCCAGCGCGCUCUCCUCCACGCAGCAGGCCGUGGAGGGACACGCGGAGCGACCCAACGCCGCGACCAGCAUGCAGAGAGUCGAGAGAGGCGGGCUCGUGGCCCGAGGCCUUCGGGGCUGUGGGGUCCACUGGUCAGUUGGGGUGAUUCCCCACCAGGUGCGGAAGUGCCUUUGUCUCGGUGACGUGGCCUUCGCGACUGCACACGUGAGGGCGGAUGGGCGCCACUGCUGGCGCGCCUGGGUUGGGCCCGUGAGUUGAGUUCGCUUUUGGAGGGAGCGGGGCCCCGCAUGUCAGCCAGCACCGGCGCGACGUGCCUCGACAAUGAACAGUCCGGGUGGCCGGGGAUGGACGCCGGGCGGAAGGGCCUAGAAGACCAAGCAGCAGCGCGCCACCGAUUCGGCAGUGCGGUGCCUUGGCGAAACCCAUCCAUCCGAUCAGGCGAUUACCCCUCGGUGAGUGAGGGUACCCACAGACUUCUACCGGGCUUCUACCGAUUUCUACCGAUCAGGAUACUGGUCUGAGUGGUGCUCGAUCAAGGCAUGCGGCUGAGAACAGGUAGUUACUUGAUUUGGAGUACAAAAUAACAAGAUAAUCCAAAUCUGCUCGGAUAUCAUGAAACGCGUAUUGUAAUCCGACUCAGAGUAAUUUUCAUGUAACUACCGAGUAGAUUAGAUUCAAAUCGACUUGUAACUCUUAGUUCUCAGCCUAUAUAAGGUGGCCAAGGGCACCCCCUGAGGGUAUCCCAUCAUCAAAUAAUCCCGAGCAAUACAAUCCACGCAUACAGGACGUAGUGUAUUACUCUCCGAAGAUCCGAACGUGUCUAAAACCCUCGUAUCCCUCGUGUUCUCGCGAUCACCUUCGAGUUCUUGGUUUCGCAAUCGCCCUCACCUACAAAUCAACCACUUGGGUAAACCCCUGGUAGACUGCUGGGCUUAUAAAUUUGACAGUUGGCGUGCUAGGUAGGAAUGGUUGCGAGAUCCUCUUGGCGACCUCGAUGGCAUCCCGUCCUGGCGUUGUUUUUCUCGAGAGUAUGAAGGACUUCCUCGCUAACCCGAAGGUGCUAUGGCUAGUUGACAAAGGCUUAUAAGUUGGCUCCACCCUUGCUCAACUAGCAAGGUGGUACUAAACAUGCGCUCAUGGACCACACUGGACCAACAAAUUGGGCCGGGUGUCACAUACACCCCCCUCAAGGAACCCGACAUCCAACUCACCCACACAAUUGACAAAACAAAAUAGCUAAAAUUGAACUUUAAAUGAACUUUUAGCACAAUCAAACAUCUCUAAAAAAUUGGGUAAAAAUUUGUAAAAUCACUAAAUGGUAUCUAGUAUUUGAAUAAAAUAACAGGAGGCAUAUUUGUGUAGAAGAAAUUGGGGUUGCUUCACAAAUUUGGUUUUUUAACAAUAAAUAAAAAUUUCUAGGAACUUAAGUAAUGCACGGUCAAAAUGCUUAUUUAUGCACAAGUGAUGCUCAUGAUACUUAACUAUGCACAAAAGGAUGUUCAUGAUGCUCAAUUAUGCAUAAUGAUGCUUGUGAUGCAUGUCGUGCAAAGGUGUUGUGAUGCAUGCAUAAUGAUGUGCAUUGGCUUCAUAGGCCAGCUUCUGUGAUACCACAUACUCACUCUUGACCGCUAUGUCACGCUCUUGCUGAAGGCGUGCAUUGGAGCCCUCGCACUCCUUGAGGUACCGGUGGAGUCUUUGCUCCCUCAUCGCGGCAUCUGCGUGCCCAAACAAGUUCACAUCAGCAUUAGGGUGGCAAGGACAAAACUGAUUAAAAUAGGUCGGCACAGCAUACCUCUCAUGUGCGCAGCAAGCACAUCCUUCUCCAUGCUCUUCUAUAGGAGCUGGUUGGCGGCAUCCUCUUUGGCCUUUUGGAGCUCGGCUUCAAGGCGCUCCGCUUUCAAACGAUAAUACUCGGCCCGCCGAGUCCCUUUUGUCCUCUUCCGCUCGUGGGUGGCCAGAUUCUGUUUACAUUUCAACAUCCAGAAUUCUUCAAGGAAACUUGGAUUUAAACACAAGUUGGCAAAUGCACUUACAAACAACAGCUCGUCGGCGUCCAGGGAUAUUUUUCGCAGCUUGUAAAGGUCUUCCUUAUCCCGCGCUACGUCCUCUGCUACAUCCGUGUCGGAGAAAUCCUUGGGGUCAGGCUCAUCUUCAUGAACCACACCAAGGUCAGCAUCCUCAGCAGACCUCUCCGGGAGCAGGUCAUCCUUGGGCAGCUCCUCUUGUUGAGGCUUGGCUCUAGCCCCCUCAUCAGCUGCCUUCUCGACCUUAGGGUCAACCGGGGCUAUAUUUGCAACUCCGAAGCCGGCUUCAUCACGUUGCAGCGCUGGAGUCAGAUCGACUACCUCGGUGCGACCAUCCUUAUCAACUCUGGCCUUCGGGGGCAGGGACGUUUCCAUGGUGUGACCGCUGGUCGCCUCGGUCUGGGCUGAGCAGCUGGUCAGUUGUACGCCACCAUCAUCGGACAGCAUGGUGGUCCUCCAUCACCAGCACAACAAGCAAUUCACACAAGUUAGUCGGCAACCAUAAUUGCAACACAGAUAGCAUAAGUAGGCGGCACUUACAGGGUGCUCUUCUUCUUCACUCGGUACAUGGGGCGCAAUGGUGGUGGCGGCGCUGAUGUAUCUUCGCUGGGCCUGCCACGGAUCUUCACCUUCAGCGUCUCCUUGACGUGUGCCGCUUCAGCCGCAGUGGUCUCCUGGAGCUCCAAUUUCUUUCUCUUUACGGUCGGGCUCAGCGUGUCGGAGUCCUCGUCCACAUCGCUACCCGACCUGGUCAGGGCAGCCUUCUCCUUUUUCUUCUGGCCAUCUUCCUCCUCUCCCGCUCAACUGCGGCACCUUAGAGACAGCCUGCUUGUGCACGGUCUACCGUGUCCGAUGCCCAACCGGCUCAGAGCCUUGGGGCUAGCCGGCCCCUUCUGUCACACCCUCGUCCGACCCAAAGGAAGAGUCCGAAUCCCAUUGAAGGUCGGCGAGCGGCACGUUGGCCUCAACGGUCGGACGGAUCUUGGGUCAUCGCUAGUCGACCCCUCCAGGCAGUGGUGCCGAGGGAAAGUAUAUAAACAUGUCGUCCUGAUCAAAACAUAGUUUUAUUCAGAAUAGUCACAGAAGGACAUGCAGUACGCCAAAUCUGAAAUCCGCAAUCUUACCGGGUUGGAUGGCGGCCUCUUCAAUGAGUAUGCUUUGGGGCAGUUUUUGUUCCUAAUCACGCCCCCGAAGAACUUGGACACCCAGUUGAUAAUUUCUUCUUUGGACACCUUGCGCUGCACAUCCCGGGUCGGGUCCUCUAGCCCUGAAUACUCGUACGUCAGGUGCACUUAGUGCUUGAUUCGUUGGAUCAACCUCUUGCUGAAGUUGAUACUGAUGGCCGCGGCUGUCAGUCCCCGUGCUUUUAAGUCGGCAAUCUUCGCCAGCAACUCAUUCACCUGGACCUGUUUCUCCAAGGUCGGCUAGUUCGACCACACGGGCAUCACCGCUGGCCCGUACCCUGUGUAUGGCGGCAACUUGGGCUGCUGAUUGGCAAUGAUGAACCACUCCUUAUGCCAACCUUUGUUGGACUCCUUCAGCUGCAGAUCAAAAUAUUCUUGUACUUUCUUAGGCCACAGCGAGAACCCACAACCCCCAACAACCCAUGCCUGUUUCCCCUUACUUGACACAGGCUUCAGAUGAUACAAAUAUUUCCAGAGAUCAAAAUGCGGGGGGAUAUCCUAAUAUGCCUCACAUAGGUGAAUGAAGACCGCAAUGUCUAAAAUUGAGUUGUGAUUGAGAUGUACUAGCUCGAUUCAGUAGUAGAACAGAAGGCCCCGGAACAAAUCUCGCACGGGAUCCCGAACCCGUGCUCGAAGAACAGCGCGAAGACCACCGUCUCCGCCGUGUCCUCUGACGGGAAAUCUUGGCUGGCGGUGGGCUUCCAAUCCAGCAGAGCCUGCGGCCCGAGGAGACCUCAGUCGACAAGGGCUUGUAACGAUUCUUGGGUCAUCACGGACUUCAUCUCGAUGGCAGAUGGCUCCAGAAUAUUUGCUUGCGCCAUUUCUUCAAGCUGUACACCUUGAGAUUUUGAUCUAAUGGUGGCUCGAGUUUUGAUGCGCAUACGGUGGCACGACGGCUUUGGCGAUAGUGGCACGACAGCUCGAGUGGCGGCGACAGAAUGUGCGCGAGCAGAACGGGGAUUGCAGCGGCACGGCCUAGGGUUCGUGAGUGCGGCAGCGAAGUGCUCAGUGGACUGUGGCGGCGACGCUGUGAGUGUUCAAGAUAGAAGUGAAAACGGCUCUGUGACACCUUGCGCUUUUGAGGGGGAUGACGGCGUAACCUACGGACAGAAAUUGCGGACCUCCCGUUAUUGUGGCGCAAUGUGCCAGGCAAAAUUUGCGAGUUUUUUCGUUAGCGCCGCGUGCGUGGGAUAGGAUCUGCGGGUUUUACGUUGCGCUUUUAACUGCGUGCCUUCGCGGCUCCGUCGGUCCUUAUCCUCGGGGGCUGGGCGCCUAAUUCUGGUCGACGUGCCUCUGCGGCUCUGCCAGUCCUCAUCCUCGAGGGGCUGGGCGCCUAAUUCUGGUCGGCGUGCCUCCAUGGCUUCGCCAAUCCUUGUCCCUAGGGGCUGGGCACCUAAUUUUGGCGGGUGUGCCCCUGUGGCACUAUAAAUCCCCACAUUCAGAUGAAGGGGUAUAUUUUUAUUCAGCUACAAUCAUAUUCCCUGGAAGUAUUAUUGCCAAUACAUAUUACAAAUGCCUGUGAAUAACUUUGAAAUAGCUGACAUCCCAGGAUAAGAAGCUACAAUGUAAAAAAAGAAAAAAAAACACAAUACAAGAAAGCUGUGCGAAACACUUCCCCUAACAGUGUCCCGAACAAAGUGACACGGUUCACGAUGCAGCCUCCUCACAAGGAUUCUUCUAGCAUCGUCACCUCCUGGCUUCAUCAAAGAGACUGCGAAGGGAAGGAGCAUCCAGGUUUUCCUUAUGAGAAUUCUUCUAGCAUCAGGCUUCUGGGCGGGUGCUAGUCCUAUCAAAAACUAUAAGCUUCAAGCCUACAAGCGUUAUUACUCGGGCCAUGGCUCUUCAUGAUGAACUUUGGUCUAUUUAUAGCCUGACCGCUCGCUAAACAUCCAAAGUGCUACAGUGAACUCAUGAGGGUUCACGACAAGGCUUUCCCAUACCGAUAUGGCUCUACAGUGUUCACGUGAUGCUUGGUCUGAUCUUCAAGUACUGACGGGAAUCGUGAAGUUGCUCAGAUGGUGUAGUACUCCCAUGAGCAGGCAUCUUUGUCGCUUAUUUAUCAUUGCACCAGUCCUUAUCUCCAGAGAUUUGGACGUGUACUUUUGGUCGGCGGGCCUCCAUGGUUGCGCCUAUCUUUGUGCUCGGGCACUAGGACUUGCUUCAGGAGACAACCUUUUCUUCUUUGACUAUUGAACCGAUUAUUCUAAUCACUUCAAUGUUCGGGGGCUACUCCUACGGAGUGCGUCUUGCGACGCUCUCCUUAACCUUCGCUUCGACCUGUUUGAUGCCCGCAUCGAUCAAUUCGGCACUCGUCUUCACUCUACGCGUUGGCUCUACGUUCGCUCGGAUUUUCUUCUUUUUUAGCACUGCGCAUUCUCUCCGUCACCAUGAUGCCAUCGCAGUUUUAGCCGACUUCAUUUCAAGCUUCGCUGUGAUGACCUCAAGUUCCUGUUCACCUACACAUCGCUCGGGGGCUUAAGGGAUACGGGUACCCAUGGAUCCCUACCGACCAGGAUACUGUUCGGGCCUAACAAGUGUGCCCGCCCAAUUAGGGCGUGCGGGUUAAGGAUAUGAAGUUACUUGGAGUACACGUUAAGAUAACAAGACAGUCCAAAUCUGCCCGGAUAUCAUGGAAUGCGUAUUGUAGUCCGACUCAGAUUAAUUUCCAUGUAACUAUCGAGUAGAUUAGAUUCAAACUGACUUGUAACUCGUGGUCGAGGGUAUCCCAAUAUCGAACAAUCCCGAGCAAUGCAAUUCACGCAUAAAAGGACGUAGGGUAUUACUUUCCGGAGAUCCGAACCUAUCUAAAAUCAUCGUAUUACUCGUGUUCUCAUGAUCACUUUUGAGUUCCUGGUUUCGCCGUCGUCCUCACCAAGGACCUACAAAUGGUUAACGGAUUAUGAAUACGACUAGGGCGUAGCGUAGUAAUCUGUGAUGGUGUGGGGACAAACGUGUGUUGACCGUUGAUUACCGGCCUUGUCGGCGGCGGGGUCCAAUGGUAUCGCGGCCAGCUGAACCGCCUGCUCUCUCGCACUGCCGGCACUGGAGGAUCUGCCUGCUGCUAAUCCUGCUGUCAGGAUCGGAGCAAAACGCUUCACGCUGCCAAGGCAGUCUUCAAGACGAACAGCAAAAGGUUCGCGCGCGCCGUGCCGUGCCGUGCGCAGACUACCAGUGAUGGAUGAACACAUCUCUUCGGUUCGAAGGAAGCCCCAAACGGCCAGACCAGAGACUACCAGAGACUACCAGACGGUUCGACGAGCGCAGUGGAGACCGACGGACCGGUAGUAAAAAGAUACGCUGCCCGCGGCGCGCCCACAGUAAAAAGAAAGAAAAGCUUAUCCCCAGUCCACCGCCUUGCAGGCCGCAGGCAAUGUGCUUUGUGCACGCAGUCUUGGACCCGUCUCUUCUCUUCUCUACUCUACUGAUGGAGAGUCCUGGGCGCGAGAUGAUGCGCGCCAACCAACUUGCGAUCUGAUCGCGGAAGCAGUCAGCAGAGACGCCGCCCUCAUGCAAGUUGGCGUGCGCGGCUAUACGGCAAGGCGACGCCCUCUGACUCUGACGACGUGUAGUACCAUGUACCUGUCCAAUGGAUCGGCGCAGCGUAUCCCCCGGCUAGUGGCAGCUCCAUCCCUCUCAUCCUGUCUCCUCCCAGACCUGAUCCCUGGCGCGCCUUUUCACGCGCCCGGCCGCCGCCUCGGGACUUCCCGUCCGUCCGUCCUAGGGCGGCAGGGGCGACCGAGCGACCACGUCACUGCCUCACCACUCGCACGCCAUGCAUGAGAGAUACUGCACUGCCCUCGCGCACGCGCGGCGGCUCGUCGGGCGCGCUGUCAUUCGCCUGCUUUGCUUGAGGCCGGCGGUGCCAUGCCGCGGUGCUCGGCGGCGCAGGGGCCUCGUGCGUGUCACGUCACGUCUCUUGGUUGUUUCCCUCCCUAUGGGCAGUGGCGUGGUGAGUCCUGUGCGCCACGCAGCGGCAGGCCUCGACAAUAGAUCGGUUACAGCCCAUGCAUGAUCCAGCGCCUACUAACCUAACUGGGCCUCAACAGGACAAGCCAGUUGGGCCCAAACAGUCCUCUCUCCCUUCCACGUCCCCUGUCUACCACGUGACGUGAGUUGUGAAUUGUGUGAUUGUUCCGGAAGCACCCAUCCCUCUCCACUCCACGAUUGCUAGCGUCCUGCUGCUGCUGCGCCCCUCUCAGAUCCAGCGCCACCGAUGCCGCCGCGGGGGCCCUCGCAGCCGCAGCCGAUUGCCCCCUCCCCCGCUCCAUUUCCCUCGCCCGCCCGUGAUCCGAUAUUCCGAUCCGACCCAUGGCCCGAUCGGUUCCAUUCCAUCGUAGCAGCACCUACAACGCGUCGCCGAGUGCCGUAUGUGUCCGGUAGUUUUUGCACAAAACACCCUCGUAUGGCGAGGAGACGGCGCCAUCGUCGUCUUGUGAGGCGACGGCAAGGGCUCGUGGUCCCAGACCAAAUCGCCAACUAGAGGACCGCUGUACAGGGUCGUCCUCUCGAGUCGACGGCGCGGAUCCUACUGCGGGUGCGCUCGGAUCCAGAUUUUGACGCGCGCAAGAUGGUAGCUGCGCGCCAAAAAUCCAUCCCAUCUCUGCAUCCGGUCAGCGGCAACGGAGGCGGCAAUGGUGGCCCGUUGCGGAAGCAGCUCGGUAGCUGGAGCAGCAAUGACGGACCGCCCCGUUGUUCGCGGCUUGGGCGCAACGGCAUCACCCAUCACCGCCGGCGCCAGUCACGGCAACGGCGCUGCAAGUGCAAGAAAUGCCGCUGUGGAAACCUCCUCCCGGUGACCCCGACCCGUCGCGAGGACAGCGGCGACAGAGCCUCCCACCCCUCUGGCUUAGUCGGUGUUUCUGAUGUAAACGAGGUGUUCGACGAAAGGUGGCUAUGGAGAUCCAUCGGCUUGCUGAGAACAAUAGCGUGCAGCACGACGGCAGGAGCAGCAACUACCUCAGAACGUAUAAGUUGUUCAAUGUUUUGGAUGCGAAAACUGAUUUAGUUUUCUUCUUGCCCAAAAGUAAGAUCCUAAUUCUACUGUGAAGUUUCCACCAAUCCACCUGGACUCUGUCAAGCUACUGCCUCUGGUAUGAACAUGUGUGAAUCUUUUUGUUUCCUUGUGCGCGCAAACAACAGCGAAGCUUUCCUUGUUUAGUCAUAUUACGUUUUAUUUAAUUUAUGAAAAAUUUGUUCUAUUACAUUAAUAUAAAUAUAUUCGAAUAUCAUGUUUCCAAAAGGUAUCAUCAUCUUUCUUUUUUCAAUAAGCAACACAAUAGUAUACACAAGUCUUAUUUACUAUUGAUCAUGACUACAUGCGGGCAUUAAAGACUUAACAAACAACCAGAGCUGUCUAUUUAGGUGUUUUUAUGUGGUGUGAUAUCAUCAUACGACGACAAACGGUCUACAUGCCCUUAUGCAACUGGAAAAUGGAAGUAAAAUUAGGUAGGUUUGUGUAAGAACGUUCGAAUUCAAUCUAUUUUUUGCGAUGAAGUACUGAACCAUAUAAUGGUGGUGGACUACGUAUAUGUUCUGUUUCUGCUUUGCCUAAGCGAGCAUCAGGUCUGCUAAAGUGCUGAGGCGUGCAUGUCAGAUAAAAAAAAAAUCAAUCCAUGGUGCCUCAGACCAAAACGUCUUUAGGACAAACUUUGCUUUUAGAAAAGUAUUGUAUUUCUUUUUCUUAAACUUUGCUUUCUGAAGAAUUAAUAGCGGCAAAAGGACGCCACUGCAUGAUGGCAACUCUCAGCUGUACAUUUCAUCGUGACAGCCGACCGUACAACCCCCAACACGAUCGUCUUUACACUCCCUGUACAAGUCAACGCCGUCGCCUCUCACCGGAGCGUGAGCAUGACGAGGAAGCCGAGGAACGCCGCGGCUCCGACGCCGGAGCAGCAGAGGUCGACGAUGCCCUCCCGCCUGGCCUUCCGCUCCUUGCGCGCCCUCUCUCCCCUGACGAACUCCUCGUACCGCUGCCUCGCCGCGCCCUCGGCGCCGCGGCCGCCCCGCCUCGCGCCGGCCAUGGCCGCGGCGACCGCGGCCAGCGCGUCCCGGCCGCUGACCCCGCCGCCGUCGCCGCCCUCCGCGCACAGGCUCACCUCCCGCACGUGCCCGCGACGCUCGUCGCACGUCACGGCGGCCUCCAGUGCGACGUCGGAGCCACCGGCGUCGGCGCCGGGGAGCACGAUGGCGAAGCGCGCCACGGUGUCGCCCGUGAGCCACUUGCGGUCGACGGAGACCGGGCGGCGGCUGGAGGCGUUGAGGGCGCGGCCGGUGGCCGGGUCGAUGAGGAUCCAGCUAAGCGCGAGGUCCCCCGGCGCGAUCGUCGUCGCCGGCGACAACGGCGCCGUGAAGCCCUCCUGCACGAGCGCGUCGACGCGGAACGGCGCGCCCAGGAACCACCCCGACGCGGCGUCCGUCUCCACGACGCGGGACAUGAUGCAGGCGCCGCCGUGGUGGAGGUCGACGGCCGAGACGAGGCGCGCGGGCAGGGGUGAUCGCGGCCGCGAGCCCGCCGAUCCGGGCACCGCCGGCGGCGGUAUCGACGGUGUGGUGUCCGGGAACGGGAAGGCGUCGGCGAAGAGCGCGCGGUAGUAGUGCCCACCGCCGGCGGAGGCGCGGGAGAAGCAAGGGACGUCGCGAAGGGAGGGCCACAUGGCGAGGCAGAGUCCGCGCCAGGUGCCCGGGUCGGCGGCGAGGUCGCGGAGGGCGGAGCACGCGCACCCGACGGCGGCCAGGGACGCGCCGUCGAGGCGGCGGAGGACGAGGGCCAGGACGUCGGCCGGGAGGUCCUCGACGGCCGCCGGCGUGGCGGCACCGGCGGCGUCCAUGGCCCCGAGACCACCCAUGAAACGGAAACGGGGCAACCUGGCGGCUCUGUUUAACAGGAUCCGUGGAGCUUGGUUGGUUCCCGGGCGGUUGUGCGUCGAUUUGAAGCGGCCUGUGGUUCGUUUGUUUUGUUUGGUUUAUAAAUGGGGUGAUUAAGGGGAGGUUGCGUGGUCGGAUCACGGGUCAGAAAGCGAGAUGUUCCUGCCCGACCGGCCGGUGUCAGCAGAGCAAGGAUGAGAAGCCAGCAGCCACGGCGGAUAGCUCGCUCUCGCUCUCGCGCUCUUUGCGUCGCCGGAAAGCAAGCUCGGAGAAGUCAUCCGUGGGGACAUUUUUUCUUCUCAUCGGACAGCGGAAGGAAGCUUCUAUAACGGCAGCAACGCCACCGGUCAAUUUCAACUCGCGGCGCCGUACGAUGACCCUGCCAUGGCCGACGUGUCAGGCAAGGGACGUUAGUUACAAUCGACUGGUGCAUGAUCGAUGCGUAUCCACGUUUAAAGAAAGCUUUGCAAGUGUAGCAAUGGCGGCGGCUACCUGCCGUCGUCCCGGCUGCGGGGGCAGCCAGCGUACGUGUGAGUGGAUUCCGCGUCUGCUCGCGGCUAGAGAGUAGAGAUAGAUGAGGCAGGCGUGCGAUGAUCGCAUUUGGCACGUGCGUGCAAUGUUGAUGAUGGGCGCCGUUGAUGGUCCCGUUUCCGCCAUUAAUCACUCGCUCGCGCUAAUCCACGACCUUGAUCGAUCAGCCGCGUGCUUUUGCAAACAGUUUGGCCGGCUAGGUCGUCCGUACGUGUGGCACACCGCGAAACCACACACGGGUUCUGACCUUUUCCGUGAGGGCCAACAUGGUUUUGCUGACUUGGGUGGCGUUUGGCAUGCAUGCCAGGCGUGUUGCGACGUCACGUCACUCGCGACGCACUACUAAUUAACCGCUGUCACAUUCACAUCGCGGCAUUGGCACUGUUUUUUUCUUUUUUAAAACACAUGCACACUCAACACUUUUAUGAGCUCCUCCGAGACAGAUUCGAUAGAUCUUCGAGAUUGGCACUUCGUUAUUAAUGGGCACGUCGUUUUACUACUAAAAAGAAUAGCACAAGUUAAAUUUUAAAAUAAAUUCUGAAAGAUACGAGCUCCUAUCAACGAGCACGUCAUUUAUCGUUGAAAAGAAUAGACACAUCAACAUUUUACGUUUGUGGUUGAAUGGACAUAUCUUCCUUGUGUUCCUUUCCGUCUGCCGAUGCCGGUACGGGGUGAGAUCGAUGGCUCGAAAAGCGAGAAGGUUGGCACAUUGUUGAGCAUAGAGAAAAGGCCUUUUUUUUUCAAAAAAAAUUAUAGGAGAUAAGACUUGAAGCCUCCUUCCCUUCCUCUAAACAACACGAACUCCACCUGCCACAUGGCGAGAGUAAACUGAUUAACGACUCCUUGUUCUAAGUAAGCACCCUCCAUGGCGAAAGUAGUAGGUCUCUUCUCUCGUUCUAGAAUCACGAUCUCGUCAACCAUUCGCACGGCCGUCAGCCUUGAAACCCCCCCUGAAUUUUUCGUUCCCCCUCUUGCCAAGUAGUGCCCCAAGUUGCCUCGCAUCUCCACGCCACGGCGCUGCACGGUGGUCCCGCACGCACGCUCGGUGGGCGAACGGGCACGUACUGACGUAGGGUACGGUUGAAGGUCGCCGCCGCCGUGCUGCGCCCGAUCCGUACGACGCAGCUGCAGCGUGCUGCCGCGAUUCCAGCCGUUUCCGUACGCCCUCUCCUCCGUGCACAAUGAAUGAUGAGAGGUAGCGUUCCGGGCCCCCUUUCACGACGAUCUUUGGCAAAAAGAGAGAGAGAGAGAGGGAAGAAAAGAAAAUGAGCAUUGUUUUUAGAAAUAAACCCCUGGAACGAAUAAAGCGUAGCGUACGUGCCACGUCGCGUCCCCUUUCUCGCGAACGCUUCCGAGCGAUGUGCAACCGACCGAUGGAUACGCACACGCGCUGUCCCUCCGAUCGCGCCACGAACCUACCACCGGAAAGUCAGUAGCCGUCGUCUCGUUCUCGUCCGCCCGCGACGACGACGACGACGACGACGCAGGACGCGUGCUAGCUUUUCUCGCACGGUUGCGUUGCACCGUCAGGCGGCGGUGGCGCGUCGCUCUCCCCGCCGGCCUGCGACGUCCGGCGUCUUCCCCGCCGCUGCAGGAGCUCCGCAAGCAGCGACGACGACUCCCGGCGUGGUGCGCACGUACGUGGAGCCACUCAGGAGCAACGAUUUUAUUUUAAAUUACUCAUUUUUUGUAUGGAAAAAAAGGGUUCCAUUCCAGGCUCUAUGAUUCAUUAGCUGGUGGGGCUGCGGCGGCGGUUAACAUGUUAAGAUCGCGUCCCUGUUUGCUCCUUUCCUUUCUUUCUCCCUGGAAUGGAAGGGGAACGCGCAACCAUCAAGUGUUACGAGUCUGCGAGCCCUUUUGUCUUUAAUAAACAAGGGACCCCCAGCAAAUGGCAGCAUGUUCACACAUCAUAAAUGCAAAAUCUAAGCACAAAGUCUAAGAUUAUUAACGAACGGAAACGAAAGAUUAUGUCCUGUAUUACCAAUGUGUUUGUUUCUGACUGUGUUUAUUUUCUGACUGUGAUUGAAACGCAAGCGACGGCUGCUAGAUGGAUUUCGAAAAAGAGAGGGAGAGAAAAAAAAGAGAAAAAGAGAGGC
rnacentral:lncRNA from 1 species